AUUUUUAAAUGGUAAUUAAAGUUGUAUUAGAUAAAAAUGGUUAGAAAUUUAUGUAUGCCAGACAAACCCAAUUUUUCUAAGUAGUUUUAAGUGAGAUACUUCUUUUAGAAGUUUGUUUUAAGAACAAUAUUUUAAGUUAUUUUAUUUAAAUAUAUGAAAAUUCUACAAUUGAGUUUAGAUAGUAAUAAAAGGAUAACUAUUUUGAUACACUGAUAGUGAAGUCUUUUAAUUUCAUAAGUGGGGUUAAGAAAACGUCACAUAUCCUCUAUUAAUGAGAAUGAUAUUUGGUACACUGGCACUAGAGUUUUUAAAAUGUAGGGUUAAGGGGUUAAUAAAUAUUCUGUAAGGGUAUGGUAAAAUAUGAAAAAGAUAAAUAUUUUAAAAAAGAGACGUGAGAUUUUUUAAGGCUACUUGUGAAAUAAAAUAUGUAUAUUGCUAAUGUACCAAAUACUAACCAUUAUUAAUGAUUAAAAAAUAAAGAAUAAAUAAAUUAUACACAUGACAUUUUUUUAACAACGCUUAUAGAGUUUAAAAACUACAUCGUUUGUGUAUCAAAUAAUAAUUCGUAGUAAAAAUAAUAUAUAUAAAGGGUUAAUCUAGUACACUGACCGUGUACCUUUCUUUUUUACAAGAAGUCCUAAAAAUUGGCAUGUCUUUUUUAAAACAUAUAUAAAUGCUUUAAAAGUCAAAAGCACUCUUAAAUUAUUUGUUAAUUUCUGGAAAAAUAAAUUUUUAGUAUUUUCCUUAACUAAGUUGAUACACGAUUAACUCAUAACACAAAAAUAAAGUUUUAUUUGAUAAACUGAAAAAGUUAAAAUGUUAAAUAAUUAAGGUUAAAUACUAAAUAUAAUCAGACUCUUUAACGAAUGAUAAUAUAAUCUUAAAAAUAAAUUAAAAAACAAUAGAAUAAAUUUUCUACCUUAUCAUUUUUCACACCUAUUUGUAUAAUAAAAAAUUAUCUAUAAAAAAAUUAUCUACAAAUUUUCAUUGUAGAUUAUCAAAGAUGUUUCAAAUAAUAAAUUACUAAAAGUAUUAAUCUUCAAUGACAUGUUCAAUUAGACCAUUUUUUUAAGAGUUUAUCAAACAUAGCUUAACUUAGUGAAAUGUUUUAUAAUAGUAGAAAUAAUCUCAAUAAAAUAAUAAAAUAAGAAAUCAAAAUACAAAUAGUAAUUUUAUAUUAUUAAAAAGAAUUAUAAAAAUCCACACCAUCUUGAAAAUUUUCAAUUAUCCAUAAAAUAAUAUUUUAUUCCUUCUUUAGAUUACUGUAUGUUGAUCUUAUUUUUAACCACAAAAUAACUCCUUUCUUAUUUUUUAUUAUUUUUCACAUGGUGUCCCAAUUUGUAGUCUACUCUUUAUCUUCUUUGCCUUCAAUAUAGAUGACAGUAAAUUUCAAUGAAAAGCUAAUAAGAAAUAACCAAUGGUUUAAAACAAGAGAAGAGAUUACAGUGUAUAUUGAAGAAACAAAUGCAUAUAAGAUUUCCAUGAACCUCCAAACUAAAUCAAUAGUAGGGAGUGCACUUAAUCCCCUUUUAUUCUGAUAACCAAGUCCUUCAAAGAAAUUGAAAGAUUAAUAUAUUGAAGUUUGCCCAGAUAGAUAUUCAGUACACUUAAUCACAAUCAUUAUUAUUCAUCACAAACCCAUGUUCUCAGCUGUCAGCACUAGAUGAAAAUUGAAAGCAAAAUCAAGAGGAUUUCAGGUCAACGUAAACUUUCUUUCCUUCUUUUUACCAUGGCUAGGUACAUGGUAUUGAACACUUUCUGGUCACCAAUUUUCUACCAGAAUUCAUACCUGCAACCCUGUCUCUGACUUCAUACACAACAGCAAGGUCUUGACCAUUUCCUUUGCUGAUCCAGAUGUUGUUUUGAUAUUCAAGGAAAGCAUUUCAUUCGCUGCAAUGGCACAGUAUUUAGUCACACCUUACCAAGAGAACAUCAAAUGAUAUCGAUUUUAAUUGCACGGACCUAUAAACACCUCACCUGUCGUUCAAUUUCAACAGCAGAUGCAGCAAGCCUUUGCUUCAAGAUACCCCUUUCCUGUUUGCAACUCUCCAACUCGGUAUCUAAACUCAAUUAGAUUAACAGCAAGAUUACAAAUGAGUAAUAACAGAAUUUCAAAAUCAAUGGUAUUCCCAUGUUCAUGUCAAACGCAAGCAGAAAUAACACUGUGAGCAAGCUAGGUUAAAUUGCAGCAACAUUCUCCAUCAAUUAGCUAUAUAGAAUAAUUGUUAUUUCCAGCUCUGCUAGCAGUCAUGCAUGACACCAUUUAACCCUUCAAAUAUUGUUACAUUGGCCACAAAGUCUAACAAGGAGAGUGAACCUUGGUGCAAAAGUAAGGUCAAGUGAUCAUGACCUAGAAGUCGCAGACUCGGGUCAUGAGACAGCCUCUAAAAGUGAGGUAAGGCUGAGAAUAUCUAGAAAUUCCAGAUCCAACUAUGUGAGAGCUUCAUGCAUUGAACUACCCCCUUAUAAAAUUUCUGACCUGAUACUGGAACCCUAUUUAUCAGGUAAGACUCAUAAAAUUUUGCAUUCAAGAACUCAUGCCAUACAAACGUAUGAAUUUAGUUGAGACCUGAGAGUAGAUCAGUUUGAUCCAGAUAAUAAAGUUUAUAUAAGCCACUUAGUAAAGUUUGAAAAAUGAACGUUUCACAUGUUAAAUGCACUGAAUCAACUAGGUUAAGUAAUUUCCUAGGGUUGUGAUUCUUCUAGCUAGGUGCAAAUCCUUAGAUCUCAAGAAUUACCACUCUUUAAAUAUGCGUAACAUAAAAAUGCAUCAUGCAGACCUCUAAAUCUUUGAACUGAGUAUUUUAUAUGAAGGUGAAAAGUAAAACCAUCUGUGUGCGCUCUUAAAUUUUAUAUGGAUGUGAUGUAAAACCCUUUAGGCCAUCCAAUUACACCAGUCGGAGAACUAGCCAUCUUCAAAGGCAGUUGUUUUCUUUUGUCUAGACGUCCAAGGAAGUUGAAGAUUCUCAAAACAGAAAACUCUAUCUCACCAUCAGAACUUUUCAAAAGUCUCUUUUGCUCUGUGUAGGAACUUGGAUUUGAAAUUUUCAAUUUGGAUUUCAUUAUGUAAAUGGUAAGGAUGAAAUGCAUAUAUUAUGAACAAAUUAGUUGAGAAAAGUAUAAAAACAUGGAUUUGUCAAAUCCAAAAAUAUUUUAAGGAUUUCAAAUUCAUUACCAAAUAGGCCUCUAGCAAAUCCGUGAUUGAGAAAUUAUAAUGAAUGUUACAUGUUUAAUAGUUUACUACUCAAUUUACACUAAUUUUUAAAUCCAAAUACAAAUUCUGAAAUCCCAAUUCCCAAGUGCUACCUUUAGCUUUCACCCUCAAAUGGAACCAUGUUGAUGUCUCAAGAAUUUAUCCCUUUACUUAACAUUAAAGGCCCAGAACUUUUGCCUAUCUAUUUCAAAAAGUUGUUUCAGUCGAGCAAGAACACGUCCUAUUUCUUGCAAUUAUCAAGCUAACUUUCUCUGUUUCACUAAAUUAGCAUCCAAAUGUGGGUUUUUCCAGAAGUAUGUAAUUGAGUUUUCUUUAGCUGAUAAAAGGAUCAAUGGGUGAACAAAUAGCGGAUUGGUAGAAGAUCCCAUAAUGGUUUAUCUUACUCUACAAUAGGUUUUUGCAAAGUGCAAAUCUUUGUGGUCCCUUCCAGGUGCAAGGCAGUACAAGUGGAUGGUGUAAUGAUAGAUUUCAUACCUUAUUAAAAUAUAUACAGAGAAAAUAAUGCACUGAACUCCAUGCUUUUGUUGUACGUUAAAUGCUCAUGACAUCAAGGAAUACAUGCAGUCAUUAUGCAACCUUUUACCUAAUAUCUUGUCAAUGCUGUAGAACAUAAUUACUUAUGUCACAUCUUAGAAAAAUCCCCAGAUAACUGCAUCACAUAACCAGCUUCACGAUAUCCUGGAAAGCUGAAGUGCUCAUAUUUUUUAAUGCAAUAUAGUGAUCAAAAUUAUUGUCCAUGGAAUAGUUUAUGUUACUAUAAUGAAUUACAUGCAAGGAUAUAUUUCAGCAAUGACAUGAAUGUACCCUUAACCAUCCUUGAAAUGCAAUUAUAGAACAAAAUGCCAUAAGAGGCUGAUUAGUUCUCACCAUAAUAGUAGGAUGAAAGAAUCGUGAUGCGCUCCACAGGCUGGGAAAGACAAACAAAAGUAAAUUAGUAUUCACAGCAGAAAAAGAUGGCAUGGACUAGAAUCAGCCACAAAUUGCAAUAUUAAUUACUUGUUUUCUAAAUUCCUAUCAGAUUAGUUGAACAGAGGAUAGAGAAAAGGCCAAACUUUUAAGAUAUAAUGUAAGAGUACAGUUACAAAGGAAUAACCAAGACAGAGAUCCUGGACAGGACAGAUUUUUGUGCAUGAGUGCUGAAUAAGAAGAUUAUAACUGAUCAGCAAACUAGCUACAUUAAGCUCUAUACAUCACAGUGAAAGUUGUAUGAUUAUAUAACCAGUUCCUGAUUUACAACUGUAUGUUGCUCAUGUUAGUGUCUCCUCUCUUGCUUUAUCUUUUUCUUUUCCCUCUUUCUAUGGAUUAUUUAAAAAUAAGAAUAAUAUUACUAAGAGGUAAAUUCCCUAUUUACGAAAAUGAAAGAAAAGAGCCCAUAAAGGUGAAACAAGAAUAGCUAACAAUCAAGGAAACUGGUCAAUCCUGAGAAUUCUCAACUGGUAAGUAAGGACUCAUACUAUGGAGUAAAAUGUUAAAAAUCAUGAUGGAUCCACCAUGACAACAGUUCUCAAAGGUAAAAAGCAUCUUAAAUUUUCUAGUACAUUACAAAGAAAAACCAGAAAGAGCAUCACAUUUAUACCAUUACAAAGAUCCCCUCACGAUGAGUAGGAAGUUCCUCAAGCUUUCGCAAAGUCUCAUCACCUUUAGUGACUUUCCCAAAUAUUGCAUACUUGAAAAGAUAAACAGAAAGUCAUGUAAUAGGUAUGCUAUUUGUCAAAUAAGAUUCUGAAAUAAUCAUUCACAAUGAUGCAUAGCAAGUGUGACUGGAAUACCUGCCCAUCAAGAUGAGGAGCAUCUCCAAGAAGUAUUGAAAACGAGGACUGUGCACUGUCUGGAUCAGAAUAUCUACACCAAAGCAGAAAUCGGGGUCAUAUAAAUACAUAGAAAAUGUAUAAAAUUAAAUUAAAUAUGAACUCCCAAUACAUAAGGUGUUUUUACCUCCCCAUAGAGAGAAUACCUCUCACGUGUUUUACAUCACUAAAUUCACCAACAAUUGUCUUUUCAGCUUCCUUUAUUUGCUCCUCAUUCAUGGGAGCUGAUCUUCCACUUGCAACAUCUGCCACUUGGGCUACAAACCCCCUAUCAACCUGCAACAAUUUUAAAUAUGUAUAACCUCACCCACACCUCAAAAUCAGAUUAAUUAACAACCAAAGACCAAAACCAGUGUUUUCAAGUUCUACCACUCACUCUGAAGAAGUGGUUGGUGUUAUAGCAACCAAGACGCACAAGCUUAAAAAUGUGAUCAACAGUUUUCGGUGCAACACUAGGGUAAAAUCCAAAUUCAAUAUCUCCAUAAUUUGUCUGCACCACAACCAAAAGUUCAGAAAAUAACAUCAAACAAACUCACAAAAUCGAAUACCUUUUCACACUGGCAUUACCAACAACAACUCCCAUUUAUUACAUAAUUCACUAAAUAUAAAACACAAGUACUGGGAAAACUGGGGUAGAUAAUAUGGGAACUGAAUGCUGGAAUUAGUGGAGUUAAGAAAUAUAUAUAUGUAUAUUUAUAGGUGAAAGUGAAGUGCAAAGGCAAAAAGAAAGAACCUGGAAAACAACACGAGGCGAGCUUAGCUGGGGUUCUUCAGCCAAAGCACCAACAUUAGUAAUUACAAAUACUAAACUCACCCACCAUAAGAUCUUCAUCUCUUCUUUUCUCCUAGUCUUAGAUUCUCUUUUCAACCUUCUUGGCGCUUGAUCUAAACUUGCAUUUGUCAACUCCCAAACUUUCAUUUGACCCAAAAUCUAUUCUGCCUAAAAUCAUUUCUUUAAAAGGGGCAACACUAAAUUCAGCCGGGUCUUUGAACUACAAUAAUCAACGCCGGGUAGAAGAUGGAUAGAUCAUAGUGAAUGGUCCAAUUUGCUUAUGCUUAUAAGAUCCAGAAGGGCCCAAAUGGCUUAUUGAUCCUAGUAUUGCCAAUGCAUUCAUACGACUCCAAUGAGUCCCAAUAUCUUCAAUCAUUUUGGGCGGAAAAUAAUUUCUGAAAAAUAAUUUAUUUUAGAAAAUGAUUUAUUAAAAAUAUUUUUUAGUGUUUAGAUGAAUUUGUGUAAAAUGUUUUAUGUUGUUUGGCAGAUUUCCUGAAAAUAUUUUUCGGAAAAGUUAUUUUUAUAUAUAUUAAUAAAUCUAUAUACAUAUUAAUAAAUUUUUAUAUUUUAAAUUAUUUUUACCUAUAUUGCAAUGAUUUAUUUAUAAAUAAAUAAAUUAAAUUAAAUAUAUAAUAAUACUCAAUUAUUAAGCCACAAUAUUAACCGUCAUAAAUUGAAAACAAAAAGUCAAAUAAAUUAUUUGUAAUUGUGUUAAAAAAAAUAAAAACAAUGAUUGAAUAAUUAUAAAUUUAGCUUCCAAACCACAAUUAAUACUAGAAAUUAAUAAUAUUAUUCAAAUGUAUAAUUAGUGGUACACCACAUAAUAACAAUAACAUUGUCCAAGUGCAUAACUAAUAUUACACCAUAUAAAAGUAUCAAAUUCUUCAACCUUGAGAAAAUUUUUGAAGCCAAAUUUGUUUAUGCUUCUUACUUUUAACUAAAAAAACUUUGGCCUCGGAUUCAUGACUCACUAGAUAAUCAAACACAGAACACAAGAAGUCAUCAUCAAAUCCUUCUUCCUCCAUCGACAUCACUUGUUCGUAAAGCUGUGGUGUCUUAUCCGCAGUAAAUUGUUCCAAAGCAUUAGCAAUUUUGCCAAGUUGUUCACCUACAAAUUUAAUUUGUUCAUCAGCGACACUUUAUUGAACAGUUUUUCUUUUACGUUUGGAUGUGCCAGAUGAAGAUACAUUUGUUCUUACCUCUUCAGCCUCUUCAUUGUCGCAGCCUACAGGCACUGAAUCUUGGUUACCAUCAUCCAAAUCUAUGUCAGCAAAUGUUCUGGAAAAACUCUCUGUUCCCAUAUCUUUGCCAACAACCAAAGCCAUUUCAUCAUAAUGAUCAAUGCUUUUAUUCAAAAAUGGUUCAUACUUCUUGUAUGCCUGUUGGAUAUUAUACACAAUUAGAAUAACAAGUAAAAAACAAUUGAAAUAUACUUAACAUAUAUAUACAUAUAUUACCAUCGCUACUACAUCAUCUGUCGCUCUAUCACAUGUGAUCAUUUUCAUGUUAUCAUCCCAUCCAAAACCACUUUCACCUCGAAUUUUGUAUAUAAUCUGCUACUGAUUUUUUAUAGUCCUCAAAUGAUUUUCCACGUACUUCGCAUUACAUUGGACUUGGAAUCUUUCAGAAAUAGCUUUGACAACUCGAUUAAUAGAAAUUGCUCUGAAAGUAUUAGAAGGCUUAUUUCCUUUUUAGGCCUCCUCUGCUAGAAUUUCAAGAAAAACAUGUUCCAUCAGUUUUGUCCACCUGAAUUGCUUGGAGGUCUCUUCUUUGUUGCUCUUACCCAUCUACAUUAAUACUUGUCAUUGUCAAUCAUUUCAAUAUCCAACAAGCUUAAAACAUAAUAAAUUCAAUAUCUAACAAGCUUAAAACAUAAUCAAUAUCUAACAAAUUCAAGACAUAAUAAUUUCAAAAUCCAACAAACUAAAAUUUCAAUAUCAUUAUCCAACCAACAUUAACAAAAAAUAAUAAUUUUAAUACUAAAACAUACAUAACAUAGAAACAAUAACCCUAAGCCCUAAACCUACCUAAUAUUUCUAGCCAUAUAAUCAGUCCACAUAGUUUGUGCAAUUUCGUCUCUUUUAGAAGGCCAUUCUAUUGCUUCUUCUCUUUCUUCUUGCUCCAUAAGAGUUGGUAUUAUCAAAUCAGACUUAGGCUACUCGUAUAAUCCUUGAUUAAGUAAAUCCCUAGGAUCAACUCCCAUUAUAUGAUUAUGAAUGAUACAACAAGCCAAAACUAUAUCUACUUGAGUCGAAAAAUUCCAAAAUGGUUCAGCAUCUAAUACACGAAACCGUUUCUUCAAAAUCCCAAAAACACGUUCAAUAGUGAUUCGUAAUGAUGAAUGACGAAGAUUAAAGAGUUCCUUUGCAUUUUCAGGCCCUUGAGCACUAAACUCUUUUAAAUGAUAUCGGACACCACGAUAUGGGGUAAUAUAUUCAUUUCGGAUGCCAUAUCCAGCAUCAGUAAGAUAAUAUUUACUUACAAUUUUACAAAACAUAAUUAAUACUAAUAAAUUAUGAGCUUCCUAGAACUAUUUGACAUUUAAUGAUAAUUAUUACCUUCCAGAAUUCUUAAUCUUUCUGGGCGUGAAAAUGCAUCACUUAAAAUACUAGAAUCAUGUGCACUACCUUCCCAACCAGCUAGAACAUAGGAAAAUGUCAAAUCAAUGUAAUGGCAGCCAAUACAUUUUGUGUCGUCCCCCCUUUACGGCUACAAAAUCUUCCUUGAAUGCUAAGUGGAACGGAUACACGAAUAUGAGUUCCAUCUAAUGCUCUAAUACAAUCUUUAAAAUAAGGAUAAAACCUUGGAUUGUUUCUAAUUUCACUAGGAGUUGACUCAUUGGGUAAUCUAAUAACUAGUUUAUACAAUUUCAAAAUAGCUCUCAAUACAACCCUAAAGUAACGGUGAACUGUCUCAGUUGAUUUAUAAUAUCUAGAUCCAAUUACUCAGAAACCUUACAUUAUGACCAAUUAUAUGUAAAAAUAUAACCACUUGCUCCCUAAUAUUGAUAGAUUUAGAUGAUUGUAACAAAUUAUUCCUACUAAGAAUAACACAAAUUAAAAAAAGCGAUCAGUCUCAUCCUGAUCACAUCAAUACAAUGCUGAUCACCACUAUAUAAAAUACUAUUAAUAUAAUUUUCUCUUUCAUAAUCUCGAUUCACACGAGGGUGAGAACCAAUUUCCUUCAUAGUUUUUAAUUUUUUAAUCCAAAGAGCCCCAAAAGCUAAAACUGAAGUCACGACUCCGACAAUUGCAUUUUGAUCUUGAUUACGAUCCAUCUACACAAAAUAAUACCACACAAAUAUUUAAUCACUAUAAAAAAGAUGCAAGAUUUUCAUAAGAUCAUGUAUAAAAGUUACCAUGACUAAAGUGCAUACAUACAUAUCAAGCUAAUUGUAAUUGCAUUAAUAUUUUUUGAGAAAUUAAGCUAUUUUCUUUGUACAAAUACUUCAAUAAAUAUAUUGAUCAUAGUUAAUAGAAAUCUUAAUGAGUUAAUUUAUGGAAACUGAAUAAUCCAAGAACCUAUUUACAUGACAAAAAUAGCAUCUUUAAGGUCAAAACUUGCUAACAUUCAGAAUGCAGAACUAGUUAAUAUGCUCUGUCAAAGAAUGCUUCAUAUCCAUUAUCAUCACCAGGAGGGAUAGUUUCCCUAUUCAAUAUGUUUGACAUUUAAGGCUACCUGAAAAUUUUAGUGUAUUUUGAAGAUCCACUUAUAUUUUUUUGGUUGACCUUAAAGCACAAAUAGUAGUUUAUUAACCCAAUUUGCAAUUUUCCCUUUUGUACAAACUAAUCGAUUGAGUAAAUCAGAGUCUCCUAAUUUUUUGGUUUCUAUAAUUUAUGGAAUUAUAUUGUCCAAGGCCCUUAACAGAGGAACGCCAAACCUUCUAAAUAACUUCAUAAAUAGAGAAAGAAUCAAGACACCUUCUAAGACGAAUAACAAGUACACAAUUUAACACCGAAACAAACUGAAGCAAAUCAGUAAUUUGCAGAAACAAAUACCAUUAUGCACCAUUAUAUCUGCAGUAGUUAAUCAAAAUUCAUGAAUAUCCAAUAUGCAUUAAUAUUUCAUUAGUUUUUUCUUUCUUUCUAAAAGGGUGGUCCCCCUUUGUGUUUUCACCCAUUGAUAAAUGCUAUACUUCUUCCUACGGUCUUGACUCCUCCAACAGUAUGUACAUACAUAUACAUGGCUCAUAUUAUUACUGUAAUAAAAAACUGAAAAAUAUAUGCAUAAUAUAUAUAAUUAAAGAACUUGUUUUUUUUUUUUAGAUUUGUUGUAAAGGAAAAGCAUUCAGUCAGCAAGACUAGAAUAUGCUUGGUUUGGUUAAAUCAGAAUAAGCACCGCAAGAGUCAAAAGGAAGUGACUGCCCUGGGCAUAUACCUGCCAAAAGGUUAAAAGUUAAAGAUCCUCCCACCUUUAUUUUUCCUACUUGCUGCUAUCCAUGGAUAACAAUAAAUUUUAGCUUUACAAAUCAUUAUAUAAUAAACUACUGUUUUUUUAAGAAAAUAAAAAAAUUCUCUGUCAGAUAAUUAAAACAGACCAUGUAAAAUUUUAAUUUCGCUUCUAAAAUUAUAAAUAAAAAUUUUAUGUCCAUUUUGAAGAAGAAAAACAGAGACAAAAAUGAGAAUCAACAACCCGAUCCCCUCCCCACCUCUUAUUUUCUCAUCCUUGCUCUGGCAGUGUCCAAAAAGCUUUAUAAGAAGAAAUCCAGUCUCUGAAAUUGCAAGUGAAUUCAACUACCAUAGGAGAAGUUCAUCAUUGGUGCUAAAAUUGUAAGGGACUAACUUUCAAAUUACGUUUACUUGUACUAGUUUCAAAAAUUAUGAAGGCAUCCCUGCACCUAAGAAUAUGUGCGUCUUCCAGUUUAUCUAUUACAACCAAACAAAACUGAAACACAUAUAACAGCAAACUGAAUGACAUAAUGCAAAAGCAAACUACACAUUAUGUAUCUCUUUCUUAAAUUCUUUUGUUAGCCUUUUGAACAUUAAGGACUGUAAACCUUGAUUGCACCAAAGUUGCAAGCCAAACUAACCAAAUCAGGUAUUGGUUUAACCAAACUAACCUAGUACUUAUUUCUGAAAUAGUAAAAACUUUUAUGUCCGUUUUGAAGAAUAACCCCAUCCAAUUGAAACCACCAAUUUUUUAAGCUGUAAACCCACAAAAUUCCUACAUCGUUUAACCAUCAAAAUUCCUACAUCGUUGCAACCAAUUACAAUAGCUUAUUCCAUUAAAAUAGUCAUAUAAAAAGGUAUUUAAUAAUCAGCAUAAUGGCAAAGAUCUUCUAGUAGUCAACUUAUUUUAACAUUGAAUUUUCUAAGGAAAUUUGGAUUUAACUGAAAGUCUUAUUGGUAUUUUUGAUUGGUUUGUUUCUCAAGCAGAAAGUCUUUAUAUAUGAGCUGCUAACAAUUUUUAAUAUUCAAGAAAUAAAAGAUCAACUCAAUUUUAUUCAAAAUAUGUCAAUAAAAUAAGACAAGUUAUAAUAUGUUGCCCACUUUUCCUUAGUUGCAAUUAGCAUUGAAGUUGAUGGUUAUAAAUGGCACUAAUAAUCUCUCUAUUUGACAUUUUUAAACAAAAACUUAACAGUAAGGAUAAUCACCUCAAUACUUCUUUUUAAUCCAUUAACUCAAUGAUAAAACUAAACCAUGGAAUCAAUUAUAAUGCAAAGGAAUAAAAGCAUUAACAAUUAAGACCCACGGUAUUCAGAAUACCAUAGUAAAUUUAAGGAAAUAUUAAGAACAACCUAUAUACCAUUCCAACAAUAUUCAAAAAAAUAGUUUAUCGCUAAAAAAAAACCCUAUAUAUAAUUUGAAGGUAGAAAUAUAACAAUAAGUUUAUUUUGUUAAAAAAACCUAAAAGGAAAUGUUGAGAUUUUUUAAGAGAUUUAUAGAGAAAAUAGCAAGAAGAUUAAAAGGGAAAGCUUCCCGUAGCGAAGAAGUGAGGGUCGAGUGGUGUAGGGAAGAAGAGGAUGAGUUUUCAUCUUUUUUUUAUUUUUGAAAAAUACCAAAAUAUCAAUAACCCCGUUUCAUUAACCCAUUAUCAAUUACUAAAAUCCAGCUAAAACUACCAAUUUUAAGCUGUAAACUUAUAAAAUUCCUCCAUGGUUUAACAAUCAACAAUAACCCCAUUUUAUUGAUCCACUAGCAAUUAUUAAAAAUCCAACUUAAAAAGUCAUAAAUUAUGAAAAAAGGAAAAGAAAAUUGAUUUUUUUGAUCAUCAUAUCGGAUUGAACAAAAAGUAAAAUUUAGAAAUAAUUGAGCCAAAAAAAAACUUGAAGCAUAUGGGUGACUCACCGAAACUGAGUUGAAAACCGAUCUAUGGAGCAGAAAGAUGAAGAAGGAAGACGAAGCUGAGAGACAGAGAUGGCGAGGCAGAGAUGAGGAGGAGAGGCGGUGGCUUUGAGGAAGGGAGAACCACUACUUAGAAGAGAAGGGAAAAUGUCUUACCGCUUAGAAAUCGGUAAGACAUUUUUCAGAAAUUGGCUUUGAUUUUACCUGUGUUUUGGAAAAUCAUUUUCCACCAAACAAACACCGGAAAUUAACGAAAAUAUUUUCCGAAAAAUAUUUUCCAUCAAACAAACGCAGCCUUAAUGAAGAUAUAAUCUGAAAAGAUAUUUGGAAAAUAAUAAUUUACACUUUUUAAGUUUUUGUUUUUGUCUAGCGGCAGUGUUAGUCUCCGGGCUAGCUCCUUCCCACCUUUUUCUCCUAUCUAUUAAUCUUUUUUUUUCUUUUUCACAUUCACUCUAUGUGUCUUCUCUCUUUUCAGUUUGCAGAUCUAUUUUAUGGGCAUCUUUAUUGUCUUAACAAGUUGUGAUUGAUUGAUUAUAAUGCCUGUCAUCGUUGAAACACCACCGACAACUGACAGUUUCUUUUAGAAAGUGGGUAGCUCUUCGUUGACUUCUUCAUAUGUUUCUAUUUGAAAAGCCUAAGAAUGAUAAAUUAUUUCAUAAGUCGAUUUGGACUUGUAUGGUUUUAAGUUUUAUAUGUUUUUUUGUUUGUUUUCCCAUUGUUUAAUAAGUCUUCACUUUUAAAAUUUUUUGUCUACUCUUGUAGUACGCUUUUUAAUCUUGCUUAUACAUGUAGUUUUGCUUUUGCAAGAAAUUUUAGGGUUGGUUUUGUCGUCGUCCUCUCUAGUUUGGUGGAUGCUUGGUUCUUUUGUCGAUUUAUGCCUACUGUUUUGGACCAUUCGGGGCUGAUUUCCUUAUUGUAUUAAGUGUUUGCAAUCACUCUUGAUAUGUUGUGCAUGAGUUGUAACAAAACCAAUUGUCAACAUGCCAUAAUGUUCUAUUGAUGUUGAAGCUGAAGCUUUUGUUGUGUUGAUAGAGCUUGUCCUUCAGCGCGUACAACGGGUGUUUGUUAUUUUUUCUCCGAAAUUGCAUGGUCUCAUUCAAAUUAUUGAAUUUCUCUUUCAAAAAAAAUUAUACAUAUUUUUAAAAAAAAUAUAUUAAUUUAUUUUUAUAUAAGAUAAAUAUAAUUAUUUAUAUAUGCAAUAUAUAAACAUAAAAUGAAGUUGUAUUGAUAAUUAUAUUAAUAAUUUGUGAGAAUUGGAUUAAAUCAAAAUUUCAUAUAUAAAAUUGCACAAGAUCAAAGUUAUUGUAUAAAUUUGUACAUUAAACCAAAGUUCAUGAGUAGCUUUGAGAUUUAUUCCUUAUUUUUCUAAAUAAGUAAGAAAUUUUGAGAUAAUGUCAUAAAUAGUAUCGGUAUUUUAAUCAAUGCCCAAUGUGGUACCUCUAUUUUUAAAAUAUUCAUUUUAGUAGCUGAAUUAUCAAUUAGUAUGUUAUUUUAGCAUUUGGGGUUAACAUUGUUAACAAUUGGCAAGCCAACCAAUGAAAUUAUGUCAGGUAAAUUUUUUAUCCAAGCCAUUAAUGUCAUAUGUAAUAGUAAAAUGUGACUAUUUGCAAUGUUUCAAAGAAUAGGUCGGUGAUUGAACUGAUAAAAUCAUUAAUUCUCGAUUCAAUUGAUUUGAUAAUUGAUUUAAUAAUAAUUAAUUAAAUGUCAUUAAAUUUUUAAAAUUAUAAACAAAUUCAAUCUUUAAUUCUUCUUUGUCUCAAUUUUUAAUUUUUUACCAUUUUCGAGCCGUUUGCUCAUAGGUUGAUUCAAUCCUUUUUAUUUGGAUCGAUAUGCUAAUUAAUUCUCGAUUCACCGGUAUGAUUAACAAGUCCAUUUCAAUUCCAAGUGACUAUUUGGAUAUUAAAAAUAAAAGAAAAACUAUGGCCGUAAAAACAAAAAUGUAAAAGGCAACUAACACUUGUCAAAGUAAAAAUCAAAUAUAAGGAAAGUGAAAAAAAAAAGAAAAAGCAAACUCUGUAGGCUUCCGUCUCUUGAAAUCCGUCUUCUCCGAAAAAAAGAACCAUUGGAAAGUUCAUCUUGUUAAAAGUUAAGCAAAUGAAUCCUUAAUAGCAGAAGUUUGAUCUUUAUCUUCUUUAAAAAUCUUCACCCUCUUUUAGCUUAAGAUAAACUAAAAAUUUUCAAAAACAAAAUAUGGAGAAUCACAUGUUAAUUAAAAAAAAACCACGUUAUGUAUCCUGUAAUUUAAGCUCAAGAAAUGCUUUUGCAGUGCGCAUUCUCCAAUUCGGGUGUCAAAGACAAACAAAAAUUCAAAAAGAAAAUUUUAUGGUUGUGAAAAAUCUCAAGAGGCAAUUUAUUUAAGGUUAGGAAUGAUAUAUAUAUAUAUAUAUAAUUUAGAGUAAAGUUUUUAAGCGAAAUUGGCAACAUUUUAAGUGGCAGGCUUCAUUAUUUGACAAAUGGCACUCUAUUUAUACGUGCGUUAAAUAUUUGAAUAUUUUUUAUAGUAAAAAAUUGACAAAUUUUAUCGUUAAAUGCAUUGUUUUAACAUAAAAAUAAAAUGAAAAAUGAAAAAGAAAAAAGAAAAAUAAUUUGUUUCAUGGGUCAAAAAUGUUUGAAUAUUUUAUAUUCAUUAGACAAUUUGAAAACAGAGUCUCAAUUUUAUUAUUUAAAAAAAAAAAGAAGUCACCACCGAUCUUUUUUCUUAGGUGUGAUCGGACACUUAAUAAAUUCUCUCUUUUUUAUAGAAAAACUUAUUUUUAAAGUUUUCUAAAAAAAAGGUAAUUUUAGGUCCACGUUAAAAUCUAGAGAAAAUUAGAGUUUGGGAGCCGAUUACGCGCGAAGAAUGUAUUAGCACCCUCGCGACGCCUAAAAUUGGUAUAUCGUUAAGCGUGUGUUGUCUUAAUUUUCAAAAAUACGAGUUCAAUUUAAUAUUUAAUAGUGAUCCGAUUGAAACACAAGAAUUUGGACAAAUUACAUAUUAUUAUAUUAUAUACAUUUUAAAAAUAAAAUUUUGAUAAUUUUUUCGAUUUUAUUUUAAAAGGGCAUCUCGUAUUUAACAUAAACCGAUGAUAUUCACCCAACAUAGCGAUGAAAUCAACGACUUAAUGUUAAAUCGAUUCGUUACCUUAUUUAUUGAAAUUAUUUAAAUUUAAAAUUGUAACUAAAUAAACAUAAUAAUAUCUCUAAAAUUAAAGAAAGAAAAUAUUUAAAAAUGUCAAUAAUAUUUAAAAAAAAAACGAAAUGUCAUCAAAAUACAUGAAUUAAAUUAAAAGUGGGUAAAAAAGAAAUUACUGAAAAGCCCAAAAUUACGGGCUUGAAGAAUGGGAUACACGAACCGGUCCUUAAGAUGAUUGGCUAUAUUGAAAGCCUGUCUAAGCUUGGGUUUCCAUUGAGCCAAGAGUUGGCCACUGAUGUUAUUCUACAAUCGUUGCCGGAUAGCUACAGCCAGUUUGUCCCCAAUUCCAAUAUGAAUGAAAUUGAUAAGACUCUGCCACAGUUGCUCAGUAUGUUACGAACUGCUGAAGACAACAUGAAAAAGGUUGGACCCAAGCCUAUACUGAUGGUCCGUAAUAACAAGGGCAAGGGAAAUGCCAAAGUUCAGACAAAGCCCAAGGGCAAAGAAAGGCCCAAGCCUGGAAAAGUAGAGGCUGCAUUGAAACCUAAAGGUGGGGUGGCUAAGGAAGAAAACUGUUUUCAUUGUGGUGUGACUGGACAUUGGAAGCGGAAUUGCCCUAUCUAUCUUGAGGAAGUCAAGAAGGCCAAAAUAAGCGGAACUUCUGCUUCAGGUAUUUAUCAACUACUACUUCAUGGUUGUGGUUCUCACAUUUGUACUUCUGUACAGGUACUAUAAAGGAGUAGGACUUUGGCUAGAGGAGAUGUGGACCUACGAGUUAGAAAUGGAGCAAAAGUUGCUGCAUUAGCUGUGGGAACAUAUAAUUUAUCUUUUCCUAGUGGACUUGGUUUAUGUUUAGAGGAUUGUUAUUAUGUGCCUAGUUUGACUAAAAACAUUAUUUCAAUUUCUUGUUUAGACAAAAUUGGUUUUGAGAUAAUUAUUAAGAAUAAUUGUUGUUCUUUUUAUCUCAAUAAUGUUUUCUAUGGUUCGACACAAUUGAUUAAUGGCCUCUAUAUUUUAGAUCAAAUGAAUCUCAUUUACAACAUAAAUACUAAAAGAUCAAAAAUAAAUGACUCAAAUCAAAUUUAUCUAUGGCAUUUUCGUUUGGGUCACAUAAGUGAGGAACGCAUAUCCAAGCUCUAUAAAUAUAGUCUAUUGGAUUCAUUUGUUUUUUGAACAAUUUGAAGUAUGUGAAUCUUUCUUAUUGGGAAAAAUGACUAAAUCUCCUUUUAUUGGUAAAAGUGAACGAGCUACUGAUUUAUUGGGCCUAAUACAUUAUGAUGUAUGUUGGCUAAUAAAUACACAGGCUAGAGGAGGAUUUCACUACUUCAUUACUUUCACUGAUGAUUUCAAUAGAUAUGGCUAUGUCUAUCUCAUGCGCCAUAAGUCCGAGUCCCUUGAAAAGUUCAAGGAAUUCAAAAAUGAAGUACAAAAUCAACUAGGCAAAACUAUCAAGACACUUUGAUCUGGUCGAGGGUGGGAGUAUUUGAGCUUAGAGUUUGACGAUCUUUUGUAGCAAUGUGGGAUUGUUUCACAAAUUACUCCUCCUGGUACUCUUAAAUGGAAUGGAGUUUCUGAGAGAAGAAAUCAAACUUUGUUAGACAUGGUUUGAUCCAUGAUGAGUCAUGCUGAUCUGCCAACUUCCUUUUAGAGACAUGCACUUGAGACAACUGCUUUCACACUAAAUCAUGUUCCAUCUAAAUCAGUUUAAAAGAUGCCAUAUGAGAUAUGGACUGGGAAAUGUCCCAGUAUGUCUUUUAUGAAAAUUUGGGGUUGCGAAGCUUAUGUUAAACGUCAGACGUCUACUAAGCUUGAACCCAAAUCUGAAAAGUGUGUUUUUGUGGGGUAUCCAAAAGAAACCAAAGGAUAUUAUUUCUUUAAUCCCAUUGAGAACAAAAUACUUGUUACUUAGACUGGUGUAUUCCUAGAGAGAGAAUUUGUUUCUAGAAAAGGAAGUGGGAAAAAGAUUGAACUUGAAGAAAUUCAAAAAUCACAAAAUACCACUAAACCAGAGAUAGAACAACAACAAGUUCCACAAGGAAUUGAGGAACAAGUAACUGCUGUAGAAACACAACCACCGCGUAGAUAUUUAAGAGAGCGCCAAACACCUGAGAGAUAUGGAUUUCUCAUUACAACGCAUGGUGACGUUCUACUUAUAGAUCAAGAUGAGCCUAGGACUUAUCAAGAAGCAGUGACGAGCCCAGACUCUAAGAAAUGGCUUGAGGCCACGAGAUCUGAGAUGGAUUCCAUGUAUGAAAACCAAGUAUGGACUUUGGUUGACCCACCCAAAGGGGUUAAACCCAUAGGGUGCAAGUGGGUUUUCAAAAAGAAAACCGACAUAGAUGGUAAUGUACAAACAUACAAUGGGCGAUUAGUCGCUAAAGGUUUUCGCCAAGUUCAUGGUGUUGACUAUGAUGAAACCUUUUCUCUUGUAGCUAUGUUUAAAUCCAUUAGGAUAUUGCUCGUUAUAGCUGCAUUUCAUGACUAUGAAGUCUGGCAAAUGGACGUCAAAACAGCUUUCCUUGACGAGAAACUUGAAAAGGAUGUGUACAUGAUACAACUUGAAGGUUUUGUCAAUCCAAAGAAUGCUAGAAAGGUAUGUAAGCCACAAAGAUCCAUUUUUAGAUUAAAGCAAGCUUCUCGAAGUUGGAAUCUUCGUUUUAACGAUGCAAUCAAAUAGUUUGGUUUUAUCAAAAAUGAAGAUGAGCCAUGUGUUUACAAGAAAGUUAGUGGGAGCACUAUAACAUUCUUAGUACUGUAUGUGGAUGACAUACUUAUCAUAGGAAAUGACAUACCUACCUUGUAGUCUAUUAAGACUUGGUUAGGAAGUUAUUUUUCUAUGAAGGACUUGGGCGAAGCCACAUACAUCUUAGGAGUGAAGAUCUAUAGAGAUAGAUCAAGACGACUACUAGGUCUAAGACAAAGUACAUACAUAGAUAAAGUACUGAAAAGGUUCAGUAUGGAAGAAUCUAAGAGAGGAUUCCUACCUAUGAGACAUGGUAUUUCACUCUCGAAGGAAAUGUGUUUUUCAACUCCACAAGAGAGAGAACGCAUGAGUAAAAUUUCAUAUGCUUUCACUAUUUAAUCUAUCAUGUAUGCCAUGUUAUGUACCUAUCCAGAUGUCUCAUAUGCCUUAAGUAUGACGAGCAGGUACCAAGUAGAUCCCGGUGAAGGUUACUGAACCAUAGUCAAGAAUAUCCUUAAGUACUUAAGAAGAACUAAGGAUACGUUCUUAACAUAUGGAGGUGAGGAAGAGUUAAGUGUAAAAGGUUACACUGAUGCCAGCUUCCAAACCGACAAGGACAAUUCUUAAACACAAUCAGGUUUUGUGUUUUGCCUUAAUAGUGGUACUAUGAGCUGGAAGAGUUCAAAGUAAAGUACAGUAGCCGAUUCUACAACAGAGGCCGAGUAUAUUGUAGCCAGUGAGGCAGUAAAGGAAGCGGUUUGGAUCAAGAAGUUCAUUACUGAACUAGGGGUUGUGCCUAACAUAUCAGAUGCUAUAGAACUUCGACGUGAUAACAAUGGAGCCAUUACACAAGCUAAAGAACCUAGAUCUCACCAGUAAUUCAAAAAUAUACUUAGGCACUACCAUAUUAUUCGAGAGAUUAUCGAUCGAGGGGAUGUAGAGAUAUACAGAGUACCUACAGAUGAUAACAUUGUUGAUCCCCUAACCAAGCGUCUGACACAGCAGAAUCAUGAUCGUCACACUAAGUCGCUUGGUAUUAGAUAUAUAAGUGAUUGGUCUUAGUGCUAGUGGGAGAUUGUUAGAGUAUGCCCAAAGAUUAAUCAUAAGAUGGUUGUAAUAACAUACUUGAUUUAUCAUGUUUAUUAAUAUAAGGCAUUACCAUUAUUAUUUCAGCUUCUUUUCUGUGUCAAGUAUUAUUGUUGGAUAGGACACUAAUAAUGCAUUAAGACUAACAUGUAGUUGAUUGAUGAUAAAGAGUUGUCAUUAAUAUGGAAUGUCAAAAUAGAUGCAUGAAUAUGUGUGUUAGAGAACAACAUAUUGGACUGACCCGUUAUGAGUAUGUUUUUUAGAUUAUUAUGUAAUUGUCACAACAUUACUCAUAGUGAUUAAAAUGUAUAUGAUCCUCAGACUUGAGAUCAUCAUAAUCCCAACAUCGUGAGUUGUAUAUUUUGAUACAAAUGUACACCGUAACUGGUUGUUCUAUAAAAGCUGAUGUUGGAUAUACCGCAAUCUAUGUAGAGGGAUAUGGUUGAUCGAUAUAGGAUAAGUCCCUUCUACAUAAUGAGAGUAAUAUCUUAGGCCACUUGAUUGAGUAAGACUAGAAAUGCAUGGCCAUGCUCAAAUAAGCUGAUAGGAGAUGUUAUACUUAUUUGUAUAUCAUAGUCUACUUAAGAUAUUAAGGAACAUGGAAUGGACUAUGCAAGUGUGACUAUUCCAUGACUUGUGUCCAAUCCAAAGAUAAAUGACUUAAGGAUUAUUGCAUGAAAGGUUAAUCAUAAAAAUGUUAUUUCGAAUCAUGAUUUCUUGUGACUUAGGUAGCAAUGAUGUAUUGCUAGGUGCCACCCAUUGUUUGUAACAUUGGAAUCGUUCUAGCAUUACUGCUAACGUUACAAGAACUUACAGCGUCACACCCUGUAGUUGAAAUGAACAGAAUAAAACAUAGUUGGUAUUGUGUUUGGUUGUCGCUUGAAUUAAAUUAAUUAUAGAAUUAAUUUAAUUGGAUAAUCAAAUAUCGAACACAUUAUGUACAAGGUUGUUGUACGAAUAAUGAGAACAUGAAUUUGGUUAGUAUAUAAAUUCAAAUAAAUAUAUGGUUUACCAAAAUCAUUAUUAUAAUUAAUGUAAUUAUAAUUUUCGAUUUAAAACAUUGUUAUAUUUAUUUAAUUUCUAGAAACCCUAAAUAUAGAUAUAAAAAUCUCAUUUUUUCUUUGCUUGGGUCUAGCAGCCGUCAAAGCAAAGUCUUUUCCAAAACAGUUUUGGGGAUUCCUUCCGUUCAUUGUCAACUGGGUGGAUUACGUAGAGGCCGGAGUCAUGAUAGAUUGCGGCUUGGUUCAAUAGUAGAUCAGAUUACUCGUUGCUGAGGUGUUUUUGUCUACUCAGAAUAAAGAUUCGAUAAUUUCGAAACCUUUAUUUCACCUCGAUUCGUUCCUCACACAUGGAUCCAUGGUUAGGAUCGCCGAAUGUUUUAAUUUUUCGCUACGCCGUAGGGGUUCCGGCGUUCCAACAUAAACCACUUUUGAAAAAUAGAUGGAUGUUAGUCAUGAGGUCGGAGGUUCAUAUGCCCUGAAUUGCGGAUUUGGAGCGAGAGUAUUGUUUGAGCCAUCAUCGUCAAAAUCGUAAGGUUCUGGCUCAGUUGGAACCUACUCUGGUUCAAAAAAUAGUGCUACUUUUGAACCAUCCGGGCUGCUGAACUGUCAAAUUGGAUCGGGUUUUGACUUUGAUCCAUCAGCUACAUCCGUUGUCCCUUCUUCCUCAGUUGCAUCUUCUUCCGAAUCUACACUUUCAUUGUCAUCUUCAACUUAAGGUUUCGAUGUACCCUCGUUGGACUUGAUCGUAGGGAGUAAGUUAUUGGUUCUUCGAUACCUUAAGUGCCCCAAAAAAUUAUAUCGUAUUACGAACCAGUGUAGGUUGAUGCCCCACCCUAUAAGUGCUUUCACCUCAAGACAUCAAUCCACCAAAGUUGAAAUUGAAAGCAUUAAUUGAAUAUCGUGCCUGGCUGUUGAGAUUUGGGUUUCACAAAUACCUCGACUAAUAGUGGCUAUUGAAGUUUAAAUCGGUGUUGAAAACUGCAGAAUCUCUACCCAUUGAUGUUUCAGGGACAUCAUAGUAAAAGUUUUGUAGUAAACCAGUGAACUCACCUCACAACUGUGUAGUAGGACUUUUUGCUUCAGCUUCGAUUCCAACAUUAGCCGCAACGAUGGCUGAAGAUGGAGUAGCUCCAUCAGCUUCGAAAAACUCGACAUAUAACUCCUUUACAGCAUUUUUGCUUGAGUAGUGUAAUGAUAUGAUUGCCUUCACCUCAAGCUCACCUUUCAUAUCAGAUAACCCUUGACUUUCCUCAUUAUUCUACUCUGUAGCUCACGUAAUUAAAUGGUACGAUUGAAAGCCAAUUCCAUGGGCUGGGCUCAUACAAAUACGAUCCUGACUUUUGUAUUACAGAUUUGACCGUCGUAAUAAAUGACGGAUUUCACUCGUCGACUCAUUUCAAUUUAAUAAAAAUUGGAUAUUUAAAACCAAAAAAAAUCUUUAAACGAUUAUCCAAAGAAAUGUAGAUGAUUCUCGUAACUCAACUUUUCGAUGUUUGGUAUGAAUUUGUUGCGUGCCUAAGUUCUGAAUAUUUUGGUGCUUUAAUAGAAAAAUUGAACAAAGAAAGAGGUAAUGCGUACUUCAAAAUUUGUUUCUGAGGAAGAACUUUUGACGAAUAAUGGUAAUGAAAUGCUCUUCAGUGCUCGAAAAUGCGUUUUACAUAUCACUAAUUAAAAUUAGACACGUGCUUCAAAGGGCAUUCAGUGCCUCAAAACGUACUUCAAAUUUUACCCGGGAUUCCCGAGGUCAAGUAUUUUUUUCAGACUUUAUGCAAAUAUUAGUGAAAACUCGUCCAGCUAGCUGAGUUUUCCUACCAACAUGGCAGGAAUAAUCUUUUACCUCUCAAUGAAAGAUUUGAGGAAGAUUAUACAUUCUCGUGAUUUGGAUCCAAGGGCCAAUUAAAUUAUAUAUAAUUUUUUAAUUAUAUUCUAACUAAAAAUUGAAAAAUUGGAUUAUGAAAUUAUGAAAUAUAUUUUUUUUUCAAUUGGAUCAAUACUUCCAAUUGAAUAAGUAUGAGGAAAAGAUCUAUGGAUAAAGAUAGAAAAAUGUAUUUCUAAUCGUAACUAAAUCUUCAAUUUUUUUUAUGGGAUAGAUUGAAGCAAAAUAGCUAUUAAACGAUAACUUUGGUUUACUAGAGACAUUUACAUCUUGUUUUAGCUCGGUGGAAAUAAAAUGCUUUUCUUAAGGAUUUUCUCAAAUAGAAAUAGAGAACGAAGCUGGAAAAGUUUUCACUAAAAUUUUCAUAAAUUUUGGAAAAAAAAACUACUUGAACCUGACUUUUUUUGUAGAUUUGAAGAAUGUUUUGAAGAUAUUCGAUGAAAACGCUGGUCUUGCAACGUGUUUUCGACCACGACAUUUUUUCCUUUACAAUCUCACCCUUCCCCCACACUUAAAAGAGGGGUUCCCCCUCCAUACUCCAUCAUCUCAAAAACAUUAUCUCACCUAGCCUUUAUCCCUCCACUUUAUAAUAUUUCUCUCUCAUUUUUCCCUGCUUCAGUGUUAAAACUUUCCGUCGCUAAUAUAAUUUUCGGUUCGAGGUAUUCUUGAGCCAUCGGUGAUGCGAUAUUGCUUUGAGAUCCACACAUUUCAUAUAUCCUGCCGAGAUGGUACAAUUACCUCUGUAAUAGCCCAUUUUUGCCCGAGCCCGUAAUAAGUAAACCAAAAUUAAAAAUUAAAGUCCAAAAAAUAAUAAUACAGUCCAUUUUUUUACAUUAGCAGGCCUAAAUCCAAGUAGGCCCAAUUCCCCCUAGCCCAAUCACGAAGCGGCCCAACGCAAAGUCAGAAGUGGGGAACCCUAGUAGCUUGCAGCUAUUACCGUGCUGCAAUCAAGCACGAGCCCCCCUCUCGUGUGUGUGCGCGAGCCUCCGUACGAGCACGCCCCACAUGCUCGCCUCUGGCCCUUUCCACGUCACCAUACGAACGGCCUCUUCCGUACGACGGUUGCACUUACAAAAACACGUAGCAAGAAAAGCAGGAAGAGAACAACAGCAGGGCGAAUAGGCUAGCAAAAAAAAAUAGAAAUAAGAAAAGAAAGAGCAGAGCAAAAAUAUAUCAUUAUUUUGUAAUUUUUUAUUUUCGGCUAUAGAAAGCCAUUUUUUGAAUUUGUAAAUGGGGCUUCUUUUUUCUCCUCUACACACACAAAAAUCAAUACAAAGAAAUCAAGAGAAGGUUUUCUUCUUUACCAUUUUGUUUUUCUUUUUCGACUGUUUUUCUUUCUUUUUUUAGUUUUUUUUAGUAGCCAUAUACAUAGAGGCACAUAUACAGAAUAUAGAAAAGGAAGAGAGAAAAGGGGAGGAGUGUACCUCGUGGCCGGUCUUACCUUCUACUUCGUCGCAAUCGGAGCCGGAAGGAGAUCAAAGGCACGAAACGGCGCAGCAACGAGAGGAGGCUUGCUUAGGGUUUGCUUCAAGUGACAGAUUAGGCUUAGUUUAGGGUUUCUCCUUUUUAUUUUUAUGCUGAUAUUUGAAACGACACCGUUUCAAGCAUGUCUCAGUAACUUUGAAAACAGCGUAGUUUAAAGGCCUUCGACUCGCGCGGUGACCCGACCCGGGGAGGAUCCGCACAUUUCUACUCAAUGGUUUAUUUCUGAAAUUAGUCCAUUCGCAUCAGAUUUUAUUUCAAAUCGAUUUUCCUCCAGUUUUUUUAAUCGUAUCGCAGAUUUUAUUUUAUUUUCAUUUAGAUCCAUGUUUGAACGGCACCGUUUUGAAUAUUCAAAUCAUAUGCUAGAGAAGAUUUUUGCGUUAAAUUGCUGUAAUAAUCCCUUUGAUGUUAAAUGGCUUUCAAUUCAGUCGUUUGCAUAUUUAUUUCAAAUCAAGCCUUAGAAUUUUGUUUGAAUUCAAAAUAAAUCCAUUUUCAUUAAAUUAACUGAUUUAUUAUUAUUAAUUUCACUUGUUGUUAUUAUUUUAAUAGUAUAUUUAUUUAUAUAUAUAUUAGUUAACCUAAUUUUCUAAAGUCAUAAUAUUUCAUAUUUUCAUAUAUAUGUAUAUGUAGUAUUUUUACGUAUAUAUAUAACAACAUAGUAUUGAUUUCAAAUGAUAAUUUUUUUUUUACAAAAGCCUUAUUCCUUUUAAAUUUGUUAUUUUAUUUUACUUAUUUUAAAUUUUUAUAUGUUAUUAUUACAUACUAUUAUUUACAUUAGAUUUGACUUAUAUAAAUUGAAAUGUAUAUAUUAAUUUUAAGUUUUUCUCUUUUAAUUCUUUCGUUAAGAUUCAUUUAAACAUUUUCUUUGUUUCUUUAGCAUUAUUAUCAAAUUGUUUUAAAUCAUCAUAUUAUUUUUAUUGUUAUUUUAUUUUACUCGAAUAACUUUAGGAAAUUGAUUGUUAAUUUUGAUGUAUUGUAUGCUUGGAUAUUCCUUAAUGUAAAUUUAGUUUGCCACUUAUCUUUUAUUUUGUAUAUUGCUAUUCAAUUAUGUUGUUUAUAAGAGUUGAAUUUUAUUAAAGCCUCACAAUCGUUUCAUUUCAAAAUUCAAAAAAGGCUUGGUGUAAAAUAAUUCUCGAGAGAAUUGUGCCCUAAUUUACUAAGCUUCAAUUCUUCUCGAUGAAUUUAUAUCAUCAAGCAUCUAUUUUUUUGGUAAAACCAUACAAUUGUUAAAACAAAGCUCCUAAGAUUACAAAAUGUUGGAUCCUAACUUAUUGGAUGUGGCGUUUUAUCGUCUCGUUUUAAAAUAAAGGCAAUACCCGAAAUUUGGAAUCCUCAUUGGGUUUUAAUUUUUAUCGUUGAAGCUAAAUAAUCGAGGAUGUGCUUUAAUCUAAAUAAAUAAACAGCUCGUUCUCGAGAAUUCGAUACGUGGUGUCCUAACGUAUUGGGCAUGGCAUAUUGUUUUCUUGAGACGAGGAUUUUUCUAACAAAUAAAAAUAAAUGCAAUAUUCGAUAUUUGAGAAUUUGGUGAAAUCAAACCCUAACUUACUAGGUUUUGAUCUUCUCUCUUGGCCCAAAUAAUCAUAUAUCCUUCUCAAAAUGCAUAGUUUUUAAAGGUCAAAUUUAACUUCAAAAUAAAAGGAUUGUAUUUAAAAUCUUUUCAAAAUCUCGACAUUAAGACAUUAGACAAUCAAUUCGGUACCAAUUUUGGGCGUCACGAGGGUGCUAACCCUUCCUCGUGCGUAACUGACUCCCGAACCUGUUUUCUCAAAAUUCGCAGACCUAAAAUUAUUUUCAAGGUGAUUCGAUCACACCACAAUAAAAGAUUGGUGGCGACUCCAUUUCCAUUUUCAAAAUCGAUACCUAUUUUUCAAAUUUCGAAAAAAAUGGUUUCGACAACCUCCAAAUCCUAUCUUGUGUAAGUCGGGUUAUGGGGUUAUUUUACUUUGUACGGUCAUGGGUGGAAGUCUACGUUGAGGUCUCAAUCGACUAUUGUUAUGCAAUUAUGGAUUAGAGAAUAACGAGAGAGGCAGUUGACGAUCUUUACGUAGUCGAAAGCUCAAACUUUUCGGAUACCCGAAAAUGUUGCCAUAUAAAUAGCAUACAGAAGUUUAAAGGCAUAAUCAUAGGGAAAAACUGUGGGGCUUUUCAAUAUAAUCGGCGUAAUUCUUUCCUCAAUUUCUAUGCAACCGAUAUCUUUAACCUUCCUUCUUAUCCAAAGGCCGGCACUACCGUGGACGUAGGAGGACUCUUAAACAGGCAAUAACUAUUUCGAUAGAGUAAAGAUGAUGCUCCUUUUGGGGCAACAACGGUUGCCUUUAAAAUUAGCUUAUUUCCCUAAUUUUUUUAAAAAAAACAUGACAUAAUUGCCUAAUUUAGCCAAAAAAUUUUAACCAAAGUAAAAGUGUCAUUUCUUUGAGGAUCCUGUUCGAUUUCAUUGCUGCCCUUUAAGAGGACCAAAACACAUAUAGUUAUUAUUACUUUUUUAUAGGAUGAGGUAUACCAAAUGUAACUAAACUAUUAAUAAUUUUAUAUUUUGGUCAUUCAAUUUAAAAAGUUAUAAAAUACUCAUUGAAUUAUUCAAAAGUUUUCAUUUAAGUCAUUGGGCUAUUAAAAUGGCUAUUAUAUGACUUUUGUUCGCACCACUUAAACCAAUCGAAAGCUCUCCUUACUCUUCUUUUUAUAGUUCAAUUUUUUUUCAUGAAACAACUUUGAACAUCACGAAUCUGUAAACCAAAAUCCAAAAAAUUUUCUUCUUCAAUCUCUAUCACUAACCUUCAUAUCGACUUGGAUAGGUAUGUUCUACUCAUUGAUAGGUACUGAUCCACUGUGCUAAUCAUCAAAUACUUAGAGCUCGCUAGUCUAAUUUUUUUUUUUAAAAAUUGAACAGCUCAAUGACUUAAAUAAAAACUUUUGAAUAUUUCAAUUACUUGAAUAAAAACUUUCGAAUAUUCAAUGACCAUUUUAUAACAUUUUAAAUUAGCAUAAAAAUAUAAACUUACUAAUAAAUUAGUAGUAUUAAAUAUAAUUUGUCCUUUGUUAUAUAAUCAACCAAGUAUAGUUUUAUAAUUCAAAUUCUAGUGGCUAAAUUAAAUAAGACAAAUGACAUCAUUAUAAUGCCAACAGCUGAAUACGAUGAUGUACUACUCAAGAAUUUCCAUACCUUCGAAAAUUUUACAAUAUUGCUUUUUUAGAUGCUUUAAUGUUUUUUUUAUUCUUAAUUUUUUGAAAUUAUUUUAAUUCUUGCCUUUAAACUUUAGUUAAAUUAUUUUCUUUUAAAUGAAAAUUUUAACUAUACCAUUAAAAUUUUAACAACAAUGACGUGAUCAUUUGCGUGAAAAUCUAUUUAUACUUCAUAAAAUUAAAAAAUAUAUAUUUUAAAAUUAAAAAUUAUAAAAAAAAUUUAUAAAAAUAUAUCUAUAUUAGUGGUGAAGUAUAUGUAAACUGUUAGAUAAGUUAUCAUGUUAAUGCCAUUAAAAUUUCUAACAGUUUAAUCAAAUUUUUAUUGAAAAUAAAUCAAUUUGGUUAAAUUUGAAAAGUUGAAGAUAAAAAUGAUAAAAAAAUAAUUAAGGCCAAAAAGUGAUAAAAUAAGUAGACUUUAAGCCUGAAUUUUUUUUUUCUUUUUUGGGUUUAAAACACAUGACUUUCAUUAAAUAAAGGGGUCUCAGGCCCGAGGUUACAUGACCGACACAUACCACCAAUCAAAACAAGUUGAAAAUGCAAAAAAAAAAAAAAAACAAAAAAACCAAGCAGCAAUAAAAGACCAUUAAAGAAAUCAAAAACAAAAAACAAAAACCCCCAACCAUACCCUAGAAACCAAAACAACAGAGGAGAAAACCAGACGAAAUCUCCCCAAAUACUGACCCAACACAGCUGUAUGAGAUUGAAACGAUUGAUUUCAGAGAGAAAAAACUUUGGUGACCUUCAUGGAGUACGAAAUAGAGUUUCUCCAUACCACAAAGCCAUUUAACCCAGUCCUCAGCCACAGUCCGAUCCACCACCUCCGGGGCUUCUUCAACCCAGUACAUGGGCUCUUGGUACCGACGACCUUUGCUCGCGAGCACAUACGCCGCCACGUUAGAUUUUCUACGAACAAAACAAAAGGUAGCCCUGUCAAAAUUCCCUUUAUAAUCCUUAAUGUUUUGGAUAACUGGCCUGAGCACCGAUUUAUCUUCUUCUCUUGAGUUAAUCUUUUUAAUUACUGUCAGCGAGUCUCCUUCAAAAUGGACAUCCUGGAAUGUCAUCUCUUCUGCAAAGGUGAUCGCCCUUUCACACACGCAGGCCUCUGCUAAAAACGCAUUCGCUACAUCAAGGUGAGGGUAAGUACAUGCUCCCAUAAUCUGACCCGAUUCAUUUCUAGCAAUAAUCCCAGAGAUAAAUACGUUGCUUGCUACAUGAAACAAUGCAUCCAAAAUUAUUUUUAUGCUGCCCCUUUUUGGAGGCCUCCACAAUUCCUUCAUAGUAGUCUGGACUGGUAAUCUUAGGCCCAAAUGGCCUCAAUUUCCAGAACAUACCCCUAGACAAAACCCACCAAUUCAUGAAUUGUCCACUUUAUCCCCUCGUGAACCAGUCAAUUACGCAUUUACCAAAUAGCCCAAUAAGAUGUGACCAUUAGUUUCCUGGUUUUGUUAUCUGCAUUAAUAAACACCUGGCCUAACCAUUCUUUGUAAUAUGAGGGCACCAUCGUUGGAGUCACCGCAAUCUUUAGAUGCAUCCAUAACUGCUGCAGGAUAUGUCAGGACCGUACCAGAUGCUCAGCAGUCUCCUCCGCGUCCUUACACAGUGGACAAACACCUUCAACUGACAGUUUUCUUUUAGCUAGGUUCCCAAAAGUAGGCAAAUAAUUGUUAUGUAAUUUCCACACGUAGAUUUUCACCUUUGUUGGAAGUUGUAGUGCCUAGAUUUUCUUGUAAAAUUUUGUAAUUGUAGCAGUGUCAUAUGGGUAAACACCCAUACUAUGUAAUUCAUCCUCAAGGAGGAGUUUUAACCCACUCUUGAUUGAGUAUUCACCAGACCCUUCAUACCUCCGCACCACUGUUUCUGGAAGCCUUGAAAAAGUUAAAAAGAUUUUGAGGACCCUCUCAGCUUGAUCCGAUCCAAGCAGCAUGCAAAUCCUAUCUUCAUUCCAGGUAACAGUAUCAUCAUUAAUUAAUUGGUUCACCGUAGUCAAUCUGAUAUUAAUGUUCUGACACGGGACCCUCUCAUCCCUACGUUCAGGCAGCCAUGAAUCAUUCCAUAUGUUCACUCGCUCCCCACUCCGAAUGCUCCUCUAGGUAAGAGAUGGGGAAGCACCUAUUUUUGUAGACAUAAAAUCUGUUUGUGGAAAAUAUCUGGCUUUAAACCCCUUCGGUAAUAAACAAGUGGGCUCGGUUAAUAUACGCCAACACUGCUUUGCCAACAAUACGCCAACACUGCUUUGCCAACAAUGCAAUAUUAAAUUUAGAUAAAUCACGGAACCCUAACCCACCAUCAUCUUUAGGCUUGCAUAAUGAUAACCAAUUGGUCUAACUGAUACCUUGAAAAGAUUUGUUAUUGGACCAUCAGAACUUACUUAAAAUACCUUCCAACUUAAGACACAAUAAUUUCGGUAAGAGAAAGCAUUACAUUGCAUAAACUAGAAUCACUUGUAGCCUGAUCUUAUGAAGACCUCCUUCCCCCUACCGAUAAAAAUCGAGUACUCCACCCUUCGACCCUCUUACGGAAUCGAUCAACAUGGUGCAAAAAAGCUCUCCUUUUCUGCCUUCCUACCAUCAUUGGCAAGCCUAAAUGUUUUUCUGGGUCUUGCACAAUUCUAACACCCAAAACCUCUCCCACCGCAUCUCUUUCUUGUGCUUCCACAUUCGAACCAAAGAAUAUAAGAGACUUGUCAAAGUUAACCUCUUGACCAGAAACAGAUUCAUACUCCAAAACUAAAUUACAGACAACCUGUGCAUUUGCCCUAGAGGCAUCGCUAAAUAGUACGCAUUCAUAUGCAAAGAAUAGAUGAUUAAGAACAAACCUUUCUCUACCAAUCUGUGCCCCCUUCAUUUCCCAAGUCAACUUUGCCACAUUCAAUAGGGUAGAAAAACCCUCAGCACAUAGCAAAAAAAAAAAAAAAUUGCUGUAGUCCUCUCGAAGGCCAAAAUCGAUCACCGACUGCAUCAAUUACCCCCACCGUAUAGGAUACCGAACAAACAAACCUCAUUACUAAAGUGACCCAGUCAGCAUGAAGUCCCAAAUUUGUCAUCAUCUCGACCAAAAAAUCUCACUCCACUCAGUCUUAUGAUUUACUCAUACUGAGUUUAAGCGCAAAGUUUCCCUUUUUACCCAUUUUUCUCAUCUUGAGCGAGUGUAAAACCUUGUAGACAAAAACAUUAUCUGAAAUUUGCACACCCAGUGUAAAAGCCUCCUGGGCCUCAUCUAUGCAAUAGUCCAAUAGCCCACUCAUCCGUCCAACAAUGACUCUUGUAAUUAUUUUGUAAAUGACAUUGCACAGAUUAAUGGGUCUAAAUUGCGUCAUAUUUUUGGGCCUAUCAACUUUUGGAUUCAAGACGAUAUGGGUUUUAUUAACUUCACUCAUCCCAACCUCCCCACUCAAAAUCGCUAAACAAUAUUGAGUAACAUGAUGGCCUAUUAUAUGCCGGUACCUUUGAUAAAGAAGCAUUAGAAACGCAUUAAUACCUGGGGCUCGAACAGGGGACAUUGCUUCGACUGUAGCCCGAAUCUUUUCCUCAGUAAACGACUGCAAAAGAUCAUCAUUCAUGCUAUUCGUAAUCUUUCGUUGUACUAGGCCCAAAAUUCUCAUGUCAUCCCCCGCAUCCGAUGCAGUGAACAUGUCCAUAAAAUAAUCUAAUGCAAUACGCAACAUCUCUGCUUUCUUAGUAACCUAACUGCCUUCACCAUUCUCCAAACCCCUAAUUUUAUUCCUCUGCUUUCGACUUACUACAGCCUUAUGGAAAAAACUAAUAUUGCGAUCACCAUUUUUUAACCAGUUGACAUGGGCCCUUUGUUCCCAAAACAAUUCCUCCUUGUUUGCUUCCAAACUGACACCUAAUUGGAUCUCAGCAAUUUUUGCUAAAACAUCAUCCCCUGGGUCCUGAUCAUAAAGUUCCAAUAGUCAUUAUUCCAAAUUCCUUAUCCCACCACUCUAUCCAUGUUAACGUGAUGGCUCCACCUCUGUAAAUGUCCUCCUAGUUUUUUCGAACUUAAUAAGCCCCUGUUCUGAUGAAAGUGCCCACCCUCACCGGAUUUCAUCUUUACAAGAUUCCUCUAAACACCAGUUAGUGUCAAAACGAAACUUAUAACUACCCAUCCUUAACCUUCGCCGAGCACCUCCCCUCGUGUCAAAUAAAAUAGGACAAUGAUCAGAUUUGGAGUGAUACAAAUACGCAACUUUAUAAUCGAGAAAUAGAUUCCACUAUGCUGAAUUUGCGACACCCCUAUCAAGUCUCUCCAUGAUAUUAUUAGAUGCAAACCUACCUCUUUCCCAUGUGAACCAUCUACCAAUAAAUCCCAAGUCACUUAAAUUGCAAUCUUCCAACACCGAACGAAAAUCAUGCAUCUGCCUUUUUGAUAGGAAACAUCCACCUCUCAUCUUAAAUGAAAAAGUUAUCUCAUUGAAAUCCCUUACAACCAACCAAUGAAUCGUCUGAUCGUGACUGAAUUGUCUGAGUAAGUCCCAUGACAAGCUCCUAUAUCUUUCUUCUGGAUUCCCAUAAAAGCUCAUGAACCUCCACAAAGAUCCCUCAUCAUCAUCUUGAAUAGUGACAUCAAUAUGGUGUUGUGAGAAACUCUUUAAAGUAACUAAAUAGUUGUCUUUCCAUCCUAAUAAUAGACCUCCCUUGGACCCUAUAGCCCCCACAUCGAUGCCAUUGCCAAAACCACACUUCCUUCGAACACUUUCCAUUCGUUUAGCACUAAUUUUUGUUUCUCUGAGAAACAAAAGUCGAGGGGAAACAUCUCUCAGUUUUAUCCCGGAGACGAUUAACAGCCCGUGGCUUCCCCAACCCACAGACGUUUUAACUUAGGGUUUUCAUUGAAUUCGAUUGCUCUGCAUGAAAGAGCUAGUUGAUUUCUCAUUAUGGUCCAUUCCUACUUCAUUCAAAAUAAUAGACGGUUCCCCCACUAAUUGUUGCCUUUUCAUCCCUUCCAUUGUCAUAAGGGGAUCCUCAUCCCUGUCCAUAGUCAGGUCCAUAGGCCCAACAACAUUCAUGCAUUUGUUUUCCAACCCAUGAUCCAUAAACUAUUUAUUAUUUGGAUCCUAUUUGACGACAUAAUUCUAGGCCCUAAUGGAAUGAGAUUGGGAUUAGGAUAUAUUUUGUCCAUGUUAUCCCACCGAUGACUCUGCAGGCCCCCUCCAUCUCAAAUAUUACGUCUAUUUUCCCCCACAUUCCAUAUCCGAAUUUUUGCAAAUCAAUCCACUAGAUUCAUGCAGCCACCGGCUAACCACUGCGUUUCUCCUCUUCGCCGCCGUAUUCAAUGAGAUGUCCUAGCCAAACACAAUUUUUGACGGCCAAGUUUUCCACACAUAAAACACAACAAUAGUAGUAGUACUAACAUCGGAUUCUCCCCUGGUUGGAUCUUAUGCAUCAGUAGUAAGUGAUUAUUAAAAAUCCAUGGGGUACCCUUUAACACCCUGUUCAUGCCCACUUCAUAAAAAAAUUGGAAUAAAUACUUUUCUCACCAAGAUCUGAAAUGAAUGUCCUUCUAAUUGGGUGUCAUAAAUAAACCAUAGUAUUCUGUAACGAAGGGAAAUAGGCAACACUAUAAAUCAGACAUCGUCCCACCACAUAUAGUUUGUAAUCAUCUUCCACCACCAGUGUCUCUUCUCGAAAAGCCACUUCCUCCUCAUCUAUGAUAUUCAAAUUGGCUAAUUCUUCCUCUGUUUCUUUGAGACCAGUACACCUAGGAAAGUAUACCCUAACACUCGUGUCAACAGACAUAUAGAAUAGCAUGCCAAAACUCUAUCACGUGCAUAUGUAUGAAAAUCACAUAUUUAUAACACAUAUUUGUGUUUAAAAAUAAUACAAUAAAUAAUGAAAUAUAUGAUUUAAAACUAAUUAAUAGUAACACAUGAAAUAUACACAAUAUUAAAAUAAAAAAUUAGAUUGAAUUGUAAGUAAAACUAAAUUUAAACACGUGUAUACAUAUUAACUUAAGAUUAUUAAAUGAAUACAAUUAUUUAUCAUAGUGUUGUCAUCAAUCUUAAGUUGGUGUCGAGUUAAUUUAUAACACCAUCUCAAUCAACAACAUUAUUAAUAUAUUAAUGUAUACUUGAGGGCUUUAUAAAUAAUAUAUAUUUAUAUAUAUGAAAAUUAUUUAAUACAGUUUUUUAGACUAAAAAAACAGUUUAAAAGUUAACAAAUAUAUUGUAAAAUAUAAUAAAAUCUUAAAAAACCACUAACAAUAUAUCAUAUAAUUAACCAUAUAUAACAUCCAAACAACCUAGAAACGAAUACACGUGAUUUGUUCUUUUAUCCACUUGAUGAUGGAGUCCUACAAACCUUAUCAACAAGUAUCAGUCUCCAUCAACUUUUUAUCUGCCAUUCUUAUCAGAUUUUUAUUGAGAUCACACAAUCUAUUGAAAUUAUAGGAAGAAACUAUACCCGAAACGGAUUCUUGGUUCUUUUUUUCUCCAAUGAAGUAUAUUAUUUUUGUACGUAGUCUCCGCUUUAUAUUAUAAAUAUAAAUACAGAUCAAUUGCAAAUAAUAUAUUUCUAAAUACCUAUGAUUAUAAUCUAUCAUUAUAAAUUAUAAUAAGUAAAAUUCAAAUCUAAAAUUUCAAAAUUCUUACAAUUUUAAGCUUACAAUUAAAUACAAUUAUAGUUAGCAUCUAUCAUACAUCCUAAAACAUAUGAAAUAAUGCAUUUCUUUUAAAACCUGCUUAAAUCACAAAAUUAUACUCAUUUUCUCAAAGUUAUCUAAAUUUAUUUACUAUUGUUAGAAUUAAGUAACCCGAAUUCUUAUUUAAAUAAAAUACAGUGGUAAAAUAAAAUAAAAGCAAAGUCCCUAUAGGACUAUACUUCUUUUAUUUUAUUUUAGAAUAAGGUUUUUUAAACCUUAUUAAACUCUAUCUAUAUGAUAUUGAUUAGAAUAAGGUGUUUCAAUCUUACUACACUCCUAUUAGAAUAUCGUUUUACAAGCCUAUAAAUAGACAUAGUCUACUUCUCUUGUAAUGAUUCGAAUUCGACAUACUGAAUUUUCUUCUCCUCUGCCUGUGGUUUUUUUUCCCAAAAGGGUUUCCACGUAAAAAUCUGUGUGGUUUUUAUUUUAUUUCUCUUUUCUUUGUGAUAUAUUAUCAUUAUCGACAUUUUAGUUUUUACAAAUUGGUAUCAGAGCUUUCGGGUUGUUCAUCUCAAUCACAGUAAUGGCGUCUUUGAAGUAUGAAAUUUCGCUGUUGGAUCACAACACUAAAUUCGCGUUGUGGCAGAUAAAGAUGCAGACAGUUCUUGCACAGAUGGGCUUAGAAGAAGCACUGCUAGGGGUAGAUAAGAUGCCUUCAACAUUGACGGAGGAAGAGAAGAAGUAAAAGGAUCGAAAGGCGUUAACAUAGUUACAUCUGCAUUUGUCUAACUAAAUUUUUCAGGAUGUGAUGAAAGAUAAGACACCGUUGGAUUAUGGAAGAGGUUGGAACAAAUAUGUAUGUCGAAAACUCUAACUAGCAAGCUGCAUAUGAAGCAGCGUCUUUAUGAUCAUCGUUUGGAGGAAUGUGCAUCUGUGCACGAACACUUAACAAUGUUUAAAGAAAUUCUCUGAAACUUGGAGGCCAUGGAGGUUCAGUAUGAUAAGGAAGAUCUAGGGUUGAUUUUACUUUGUUCGUUGCCACCGUCUUAUUCAACCUUUAGAGAUACAAUUUUAUAUAGCCGUGAGUCUCUCACAGUUUAUGAGGUUUAUGAUUCUUUAACCUCGUAUUAUAAGAUGAAGGAUCUUAUGGUUAAAAUCGACUCUCAGGGAGAGGGUCUCAUUAUUCGUGAAAGACAAGAUCGGAAUGCUGAUGAUGAUCGUGAAAAGACACAGGAACGAAAUCCUCGUAGUAAAUCUAAGGGUAGAUCGAAGUUUUUAAACAGAGGUAAAACUUGUAACUUCUGCAAGAAGAAAUGACACAUUUAAUCUGAGUGUUAUAAGUUAUAGAACAAGAUCAAAAGGGAAUCUGCGAAUCAAAAUGGAAAACAACCAGAAAAUUCUGGUAAAGCUGAUGUUGUAGAAGACUACAAUGAUGGUGAACUUCUAGUCGCUUCUGUCAACAAUUCUAAAGUGAGCGAGGAGUGAGUCCUUGAUUCGGGCUGCACCUUCCACAUGAGUCUCAGUCAGGAUUGGUUUACAACUUACAAAACAGUGUCUGAAGGUGUUGUUCUGAUGGGAAAUAAUGCUUCAUGUAGAAUUGCAAGUGUUGGAACAAUUAAAGUUAAGAUGUUUGAUGGAGUUGUUAGAACACUUAGUGGCAUACGACAUGUUCCAGAAUUGAAGAGAAAUUUAAUUUCGUUGAGUACUCUUGAUUCAAAAGGGUACAAAUACACAGCUGAAAGUGGGGUUUUGAAUAUUUCCAAAGGUUCCCUCGUUGUGACGAAAGGGUAGAGAAAGACUACCAAGUUAUAUGUUUUGCAAGGUUCUAUUGUUACUGGUGAUGUAGCUGUCGCAUCCUCUUCUUUGUCAGAUGAUGAUAUUACUAAACUUUGGCAUAUGCGCCUAAGGCAUAUGAGUGAGAAUGAAUGACAGAAUUGAGCAAAAGAGGGCUUCUUGAUGGGCAAGGAAUUUGUAAACUGUAGUUCUGUGAGCACUGCGUGUUUGGGAAGAAAAAGGGAGUUCAAUUCACCAGAGGACUCCAUAACACGAAGGAAAUAUUGGAGUAUAUUCAUUCUGAUAUGUAGGGGCCAUCCAAAGUGCCUUCGAGAGGCGAAGCUAAUUAUAUGCUAACUUUUAUUGAUGAUUUUUCUAGAAAAGUGUCGGCAUUCUUCCUGAAGCAAAAAAGUGAUAUGUUUUCCGCAUUUAAGUCUUGGAAAACUAUGAUUGAAAAACAGACAAGAAAACAAAUAAAAUACCUUCGCACAGACAAUGGCUUAGAGUUCUGUUCUAAUGAGUUUAAUAAACUGUGCAAGUUAGAAGGGAUCGUGAGACACUUGACAGUUCGUCAUACUCCACAACAAAACGGUGUUGCAGAACUAAUGAACAAAACGAUCAUGGAGAAGGUUCGAUGUAUGUUGUCAAAUGCCAACUUACCAAAGUCAUUUUGGGCCAAAGCAGCCUCUACUGCAUGUUUUUUGAUCAACCGAUCUCCAUCCGUUGCCAUUGAGAAAAAGACUUCACAAGAGGUAUAGUCUGGUAAUCCUACUGACUAUUCUGAUUUAAAGAUCUUUGGGUGUCCUACGUAUGCUCAUGUUGAUAAUGGAAAAUUAGAAUCGAUAUCUAUUAAAUAUGUUUUUCUUGGUUAUAAAGCUAGUGUAAAAGGGUAUAAGUUAUGAUGUCCUGAAAAUAGAAAAGUUGUAAAUAGCAGAGAUGUUUUUUUUGAUGAAACCGCUAUGCUACCUAACUUUUCUCUUAAAGACUCUUCCAAUAAAGAAAAUCAAAAACAGGUGGAGCAUCAGAUUAAUCCAGAAUCUACAACAGAGUUGACUCUUCAAGCCAAUGCAAAAAGUCAAAAUAGAGUUGCUUCUUCACCACAAUACUCUAUUGCCAAGAACAUAACUAGAAGAGAAAUUAAACCUCUAAAGAAGUAUGCCGAGGCUGAUCUAGUUGCUUAUGCUUUAAAUGUGGUUGAAGAUAUAGAUGCAAACCAAGAGCCAUCUGAUUUUUCUGAUGCGAUUGGCUGUGAAGACUCAGAAAAGUGGAUGUUUGCUAUACAAGAGGAGAUGAAAUCACUCCACAAAAACAAAACAUGGGAUCUUAUGAAACUUCCUAAAGGUUAAAAGGUUGCUUGUUGUAAAUGGGUGUUUAAAAAGAAAAAAAGGGACUCCAGGAGUUGAAGAACCCAGAUAUAAAGCAAGGCUUGUUGCAAAGGGUUAUAGUCAAAUACCAGGAGUGGACUUCACAGAUAUGUUCUCCCCAGUUGUGAAGCAUAGUUCGAUUCGAGCUUUGCUUGGUAUUUUGACCAUGCAUGAUUUGGAGCUUGAGCAGUUAGAUGUAAAAACUGCAUUUUUGCAUGGAGAACUUGAGAAGGAUAUUUAUAUGCAACAACCAAAGGGUUUUACAGUCUCAGAAAAAAGAAGACUGUGUUUGCUUGCUGAAAAAGUCCCUUUACGGUUUGAAACAGUAACCAAGACAAAGGUACAAGAGGUUUGAUUCCUUUAUGACUUCUCAUGAUUUUAAAAGAAGUAGCUUUGACAGUUGUGUUUACUUUAAGAAAAAUAGUGAUGGUUCUUUUAUGUAUCUACUCCUUUAUGUUGAUGAAAUGUUGAUAGCAGCGAAAGAUAAAGGAGAGAUAAGAAAGGUCAAAGCUCAACUAAGUGAAGAAUUUGAGAUGAAAGAUUUGGGACCAGCAAAGAAUAUACUUGGUAUAGAGAUUCUCAGAGAUUGAAAAACAAGUAAAUUGUACCUAAGUCAGAAAAGGUACAUUGAGAAAGUUCUUUUUAGAUUCAAUAUGCAGAAUGCUAAGCCUGUUAGGACUCCUUUAGCAGCCCAUUUCAGACUUUCAUCGACUUUGUCUCCACAAUCAGAUGAUGAGAUUGAGUACAUGUCACAUGUUCUAUACUCUAGUGCAGUGGGAUCUCUCAUGUAUGCUAUGCUUUUUUCACGUCUAGAUUUAUCAGAUGCAGUCAGUGCAGUUAGCAGAUACAUGGUAAAUCCUGGUAAAGAACAUUGGAAAACAGUUCAAUGGAUUUUAAGAUUAUUACGAGGUACUAAUGAUGUUUGCUUACAGUUUGGAAGAAUUAGAGAUGAAGUCAUUGGGUAUAUUUAUGCUGAUUUUGCUGGAGACCUUGAUAAAAGAAGAUCUCUCACAGGUUAUGUCUUUACAAUUGGAGGUUGUGCAAUCAGUUGGAAAGCCACUUUGCAAACUACAGUUGCUUUGUCCACCACUGAAGCUGAGUACAUGACGAUUAUUGAGGCUUGUAAAGAAGCUAUUUGGUUGAAGGGACUCUUUAGUGAACUCAAUGAAGACCUUUAAAUCAAUACAGUAUUUUGUGACAGUUAGAGUGCCAUUUUCCUUACAAAAGAUCAAAUUUUUCAUGAGAGAACAAAAUACAUUGAUGUUCGGUAUCAUUUUGUUCGUGAUAUUAUUGCUCGUGGUGAUAUUGUUGUGAGAAAAAUUAGUACUCAUGAAAAUCUUGUAAAUAUGAUGAAUGAGUCAUUUCCUAUAACCAAGUUUGAGCAUUGCUUAGACUUGAUUGGUGUUCAUUGUUGAAGUUAAACCCUUAAGGGGUUUUAUGAAAGAGGUGGAGAACUUGUUCGUUGAAAGUUCGCGAUGAAGAACUUGUUCAUUGAGAAUUAGUGUCAAGUUGGAGAUUGUUAGAAUUAAGUGACCCGAAUCAUUAUUUAAAUAAAAUACAAUGGUAAAAUAAAAUAAAAGUAAAAUCCCUAUAAAACUAUACUUCUUUUAUUUUAUUUUAGAAUAAGGUUUUUUAAACCUUAUUAAACUCCAUCUAUUUGAUAUUGAUUAGAAUAAUGUGUUUCAAUCUUACUACACUCCUAUUAGAAUAUUGUUUUACAAGCCUAUAAAUAGACAUAGUCUACUUCUAUUGUAAUGAUUCGAAUUCGACAUACUAAAUUUUCUUCUCUGCCCGUGAUUUUUUUCCCAAAAGGGUUUCCACGUAAAAAUCUGCGUGUUCUUUAUUUUAUUUCUCUUUUUUUGUGAUAUAUUAUCAUUACCGACAUUUUAUUUUUUUACAACUAUGUAUCUAAAUUAUAUUCUAUUACCCAAAUUAUCCCGGCCGUUAAAAAAUCUCUUAGUUAAUGUAUGUGAUAAUUUUUAACUAAAAAAAAUCCCAAAAAGAUUAAAUAUUAUUUUCUUUAAGUUUUUUUAAACUUAUAAACACAUCCAUCUUUUUUGUUUUUCACCCCAAAAUUCUAUGAUUGAAAAUUCAAGAAUCUAUUGAAAAAACUCAUUUGAACCCAAUUUUCGGUGACUACCCAAAUUUCGAUGAACUUUUUUUUCCUUUUUAACUUUUUAAUAUACCCUAUUGGACCAUAUAACACCUUUAACUCACUUAUGAAAUCUAAAAAAUUUCACAAGUGGUGUGCGAGAUAAUUUUUCUUCAAUUAAAUUACAAUUUUUUUUUGAGUCUCUCCCUCCCUUUGAUUCUUUCUUCUCUUCUAAUACACUUUUUUGAUCGUUAGAAUUUUUUUUUUCAAAUCUCUUAUCUUUUUUCUACUAAAUUUCUUCUUUGUAUUUGGAUUUCAUGCUUUAUCUUGAGUAUUUUUUUCAUUAUAGAAGUUCACCGAAUAUAACUAUUUUAUACAAAAUAUAUAGAAAAGAAUGGAGAAAGUUAUUUUUAAUAAAACAAUAUAUAAAUUUUAAAUUGGGGUGAGAAAGGAAUCAAAAUCGAGGUUUAAAAAGGAAAAGAAGUUCGUAAGAAUUUUGGUUUUGUUACUGAAAAUUGGGUUUGGAUGAUUUUUACGACAGUUUUUGAAUUUUCUAUAACUUUAGUUCUUGGGUGAAGAAAAAAUAAUGAAUAUGUUUAUAAGUUCUUUUUUAAAAAAAUUCAAGGAAACAAUAUUUAAUAUUUUUAUGAUUUUUUAGUUAAAAAUUGUUAUGUGUCACAAAAUGAUUAGUUAAGAAAUUUUUUUAACAGCUGAGGUAAUUUGAAUAGAGAAGUAUAAUUUAGAUAUCAUUUUAAGUAAAAAAAAUAUAAUUUAGAUACCACUUACGAGGAAAAAUAAGUUUUAAACACCGAAAACUGAAUAUAAUUUAAAUACCGUUUCUAAACCUAAAAAAAAAAGAGAGUAAAAACCCAUGUGUCAAAUUAUACCACAAUUUAUGGGAAAAUGACCAAAAAAGGCCGGUUUUUUUCAAAAUUUACCGAAAUGGGCCGGUUUUUUAAUUAUUUACCGGAAUGGGCCAUUUUCCGCAAAAUCGCGUCCACGUCAGCGCGAUGUCAGGGUACGCGCAGGAAAUCGCGUCCACAUCAGCGCGAUUUGCUGACGUGGAAGGAAAUCGCUCCCUCUAGGACGCGAUUUUCUAACGUGGCAUGAACAGUGUGUUUUUAGCUUGAAAAACUUUGAAAGGCCAUAACUUUUGGCUCAGUUGUCCGAUUGAGACGAAUUUUGUUUUGAUUUCGAAUAAAUUUUCGAGAUCUACGCGCUGGCAAACCGCCGGUUUGCCGAAGUUUUCAUCGAAAAAGAUCCUUUUUUGCCCCUAAAUUUUGAUUUUUUUGGUUUAAAAUUAAAUUUUGAAACAUUCAAAUCGUUAUUUUCCUCAUUUAUUUGAAGUAAACACCGGAUCUUUUUUUACAAAAUUGUCCUAUCAUCCUGUUAUAGGUAUAAGUCAGCUCAUUCCACUUUUGAGAAGUUCCCUAAAAUUUUCCAUUUUAUUCAAUUUAGUCCCUAAAACCUAAAUAGUCAUAUUUUCAAAUCUAAGCUUCGUUUUUCAAUUCAAAUUCAAAUUCAUCCUUCCAUAACAUUCAAAUAUUCUUAAAUACAAAAAUUUCGUGCUAAUUUUGAAAUAAUUACACUUUAGUCCCUAUACUCGUAACUAACAAAUUAUACUUUACAAAUUAGUCCCUAUUCAUCUCUAAGCAGUUUUCCAGCGCGUAGAUCUCGAAAAUUUAUUCGAAAUCAAAAAAAAAUUUGUCUCAAUCGGACAACCGAGCCAAAAGUUAUGGCCUUUCAAAGUUUUCCAAGCUAAAAACACAUUGUUCAUGCCACGUCAGCAAAUCGCGUCCUAGAGGGCGCAAUUUCCUUCCACGUCAGCAAAUCGCGCUGACGUGGACGCGAUUUCCUGCGCGUACCCUGACAUCGCGUUGACUUGGACGCGAUUUCGCGGUAAAUGGCCCAUUCCGAUAAAUAAUUAAAAAACCGGCCUAUUUCGGUAAAUUUUGAAAAAAAACGGCCUUUUUUAGUUAUUUGCCCACAAUUUAUAUCUCCUAAGAAUCUAUUACAGUCAAAUCGUUUAUUCAGUCAGUUUGAAGCAAUUUUCUUUGGUGAAAAUGAAAAUUUUUAAUGUAGUUAUUGUUUCUAUUUUUUCUUUCAAAUAUUGUAGAUGAAUUUUUUUUUUCUCUCUUUUUCUAAUAUUAAUUAUUAAUUUAUCCUCGUGAAAAACGAAAAUUAUAUAACUCUAUAUAAAAAGGAAGUUUUUUCGUCGACACGUGGAUGCACCAUUUUUUCUUUUUGCUUUAUAAAAUGGUUAGAUUUUAAUUUUAAUUUCUUUGAAAUUUAAUUUUUAUAUUUUAAAUUUUUAAUAUAAUUUGGUUAGAUUUCUAAAAAUAAAAAUAAAAAUAAAAGAAUAAAUUUUAAAUAUAUAAAGUGUAAACAUAUUUAAAACAAAUUUUAAAUUUUAAAUUUUUAUUUUAUAAUUUAAUACCAACAAAUAAUUAAUUUAACGCGAAAUGUGAGUUAGUAACUAUACUAAUACUUUAAUUAAAGAAAUAAGAAAAGUAAUUUUAUUAAAAGUUGGAAAAAUGAUGGUCUUUUUAUUCAGUACGCAUAUUUUGCUGGUAGCCCAAAGGCAGCCCCAGACAGAAUAAAGUGAAGUGACAACUAAAAGUUUAAUGGCCACUAAUGGGGGAUUAAAAAAUUUUGAUGCCUUAAAAUGAUACCUUAUGAUUUAUGUCCACCUUCCACUAAUUGCAACAACUAAAAGGAAAGGUAGCACAAUAUUGAUUAAGCGAAGAAUAUCUAUACUUGAUAUGAAUAUCAAUUCGGAAACAUAUUUAAUUUUAUAUGAUAAAAAGUUGGAUUUUAAGUAUCGAAUUACAUUAGUAUUAGUUAAGCCUUUGAAUCAAAUUUCUGCUCUAAAUUUCGAAAUAACAUAUUGUAAAAUAAAUAUUAUGCAGCAAUGUCUAAGAUUCUCUUAUCUACUACUUUCAUUGCUAUACCUUUCUUUAUUUUUGUCUAAGAUUUCUUAUAUCUAAUAAUUGAAUUGAGUUCUACUUAAAAUUUAAGUGAGUCAAGUUAGAUAGGAUUUUUAAAUGUGAAACAAAACUUUUUAGUUAUGUUUUCUCUAUUAAAAUAUUUUAGCUCAAAAUUUUAUUUAAAAGAACUAAAAUUCAUUAUCACUAGGCCCAACAAACGUUGGUAUUUCAUUAUUCCUUUGUGUGUUUUUGUCUCUCCUUUUCUUUUUAAAUAAUUUUGCAAUAUCUGAUGAGUGGAUUCAUGAUACUUCAAUCAAAUAAUGAUUAUGAAAUAUAUAACUAAAUAUUUAAAAUCGUUGUUGGGACAAAAGCUAUGUUUAAACAACGAUUUUUAAUCUUUAGUUAUGUAUUUCAUAAUCAUUAUUUGAUUGAAGUAUCAUUAUUUGCAAUUGUUCUGUAUUUAUAUUAUAAUAUACAACGGAGAUGACGUACAAUUAUUUACAAUCUUUUAAAUAAUGACUAUGAAAUACUUAACUAAAGAUUCAAAGCCUCGAGUGAUAAGUUCUAAAAGUAAUAUGUUUUAAUCUCAUUCUUAAUGCAUUUUGGGAUGAUUAUUUGAUGUAAAAUGGUGAAUUUUAUGCUCCUAAUCCUUUAUAUUCAUGUUUCUAUAUUUAGAAGAGCAUUUGGGAGCAAAAGGAGCGAAAAACGAGCAAAAAUUAGAAAAUCGGAGCAAGUUUCAAGAGCCAAACGGGCUGGGCCAUUCCGUAUGGCUUGGACACAUAACUGUGUGAGCCACAUGGGCUACAACACGACCUUGUGCCAGCCGGUGUGGAUUUCGCGAAUCGCACUUCAAACACACGGAAAAACAUAAUUUUUAGGUUUUUUUUGGGCAUUCUAAGACCUAUAUAUGCCAAAAAUAAGAAGAUGGGAAUGAGUCGUCAUAGAAUAUUGAAGAAAAAAACUCGAAAAACACCAUCGAAGCCGACUCUGAAGCAGAUUUCUGUCAAGAUUGAAGAUAUCCUUUUGAUUUCUUUGAACUUUAUUAUGAGUUUCUUUAUUUCUUAUGGUUAUAUUGUUUUUGAGAUAUUUUUACUUGCGAUUAUGAACUAAUUUUCUAAAUAACUAGGGAGGUGAACCCUAGGAUGGGUUCUAUCUUUUGAUUUUUGUUUUAUGCAAUAAAUACUUGGAUCUUGUUCUCAAUUAUGUGUGCUUAAUUCUUGGUUUAAUAUUUUCGGAGUAUUAAUCCAUGUUUGAUAUGUUUGAAUCAUAGGAGGAAUAGACCCUGUUUAAGAGUAGAUCUAGUAUAAUUGAGUGAAGUUGCAUGCAAUCCUAGAAAUAGGACAACAUAAAUCUAUCAAAUUAGAGUCAAAUCUAAUAGGGGGAUCCAUAGAUCGAGUUAAUACGAUAAUAGGGGUUUUAAUUAGAAAAAAAAUUAAUUAAUCAAUCUAGAGUUAGUUGCUCUUACUCUCGAAAGAGAUAUUAGCAUAAUUUAGGGAUUUUUACGGAUCAAGAUACUAAGUGAAGAAAUUGUUUAAUUCAGAUUGAUAAUGACAGACGAAAUCUAGGUGGAUUCUUUCUUGGGUAUUGUUUCGCUUCUUAGUUGUUAAUCGUUUAUUUUCCUGAUUCAUUUUUUAUCGUGUUCUUUAGUUAAUUAAUUUAGUUAAUUUUAGUUUUAAUCAAUCUCUUCAAUUUGUCGGUUAAAUAAUAGAAAGAUGGUAAUUACUAGUACUUUUAAUCUUUGUGAGAACAAUAUAUGUGCUCACCGUAACUAUACUAUUAAUUAAUAGGUGCACUUGCCUUUGUCAAAUUUUUAGUUGGUUUACGACUGCAUCACUGAUACAUGGGUAAACGAUAUCCUCUCAUUGGCAUUACAUGGUUGAUGAAAAGUAAACAUGACCAUGGGUCGUUCGUCUUUGUGAUGAAUGAAUUGAUUACUAUUUGAUAUUAAUUAACUUUUCACGAGAAAAUAUGUAAUAAUGAUUACCAUGAGAUAAAAUAGGAUCAUAUUGGGAGAAUAAAUAUUAUCCCAAAGAGAUUAAAUAUAUCCUAUGAGGGUAACACACUUAUAACAAGGUCAUUGGACAAACACUAAUUGAAUUGCUUUUGUAAUGAUAUGCCUUUGGGGAGAGCUUAGUCACGAAACUACGGUGGAAUGACUUUGUGACUAAAUGAGUUUAUAAUUAAUAGAUGAAAAGCUAGAACUUAAUUAUAAAUCAUUUGAGCCUCAAUUGCAUAUGUCCAAUUGGUCCCUCCACUAGUUCGUUGAAACUAGAAAUGAAUUGCAUGUUGAAUCAAAAUGAACAAAACGAAUAGAAAUAGAGAAAUGAAAAACAUUCAAAAGUGAUUAUGAUUUUCUUCGAAAUGGAGAAAUGAAAUCAUUUGGAAAUAAAUGUGGUUUUCUCAAAAUGGAAAUGGAAAUGAAAAUGAAAAAUUAUUAAUUUGUAAAUGAAAAUGAAUUUGUCAAAAAUGAUCGGAAGAAUGAGUUUAUAUUUUUGAUCUAUUUUAAAGCCGAAAAAUGAAAAUAAAUCAUUCGAUCAUAGCAAACAAGUUGAACGGUUAAAUAUUAAAUAUAUUUUCUCAAAAUUUUACAAGGGAUAAAAUUAUCAUAAUUUUAUCGUGGGCAAAAUUGGGAUAAGAAAAUUAUUUAAUAUAAAUAUUGAAGUUUAUUUUUGGGAAAUAUAAAAAAAAAUUUCGAGUUGGAUCAAAUUAUAAAGUAUGGGUUAAAAUCCUGGAAAGUACUUGUAAUUGGACCUAAUAUAGAAGAGACCCAUAAACCCCUUAUGUUAAUAGGGUGGACGGCUAACCCUAGUUAAUAUUAAAUAGGGUUGCCGCCAUCUAUACUCCUAAUUAAACAAAGAGUUCGAUUUUCUAGUUGAAAUAAACUUCUCUAAUUCAAUAAGAGUUCUGCCUUUUCUCUCUAUAAAUUGAUGGCACCGGUAGAGCUAUUAACACAACUUUAAUACUCUGUCGAAAAAUGGAGAGAAUUUAUUCUCAACUAUUAAAUAUAUAUUUUUGGAAUAACAAUUCUAACAGUUUCUAUUUGAAAAGAGAAUUUUUCUUUCCACAUAAAAGAAAAUAAUUUCUUGUCCUGUGUUUUGUUUCAAUUGGUUCGAGCCCACACUCGAAGUAGUUCGUGAUAUGAGAAUAAUAGAAAAGAUCGUUUGGUUGAAAGUUGGGAACGACAAUGAUCCGUCUAUCCGAAACACAAGCACGAUUUUAAUUUAGGGUUUAUUGUUAUAAAUAUAAAAAAUCGGAUCGAUUUUCAAAAUUUUAAAUUUUCGAUGUGCAAGAAAACCAUUUUCAAAUUGAUUUUUUCCAGCAAUUGGUAUCAUAGCUACUAUUGUGCUAUGUUUAUAGUGUAAAUCGAGACUAAAAUUUUCUCUCUUCUUCAUGCAUGAUUAUAUUUGAUAAGAUGUGACAUUUUUGUAAUUGUAUGCAUGUUUAGGGGAAUGUAUGCAAAUGAAUGUAUGAUAUUAUUUUAUUAUUAUGGAUGAUAAAAUAAUUUUUCCAAAGUCGUGAUUUCUAAAAAUUUAAUUGUAAUUUAUUAUUAUCUCAGGAAUGUACAUUUCAGAUCGUGAAUUAUCAUCUUCACACAAAUUUUUUAUUUUGUUAUUUAUAUAGUUACCUAAAUUUUCCUGACAAAACCAAGUAGGAAUGUAAUUCUUCCACUGCUCAACCACCGAAGACCCACCAUCACCGACUAUUUUUUGGUCAUCAGAACACCGCCAUCGCAGCCAUCAACACCUUGAGCUAGUUUGGUUUUUUCCAUUUCGGUCCGGACCAAAGAGGGCUCGAUUGGUCCGGUCCAACCAGUGGUUGGAUCGUCGGCCCGAUUUCACAUACCAGGCUCGAUUUGACUAGUUUUUGGGCCUUGCUCUCAAUUUUGGACUCCUAGCCCAAUUUAUGAUAUCCGGUCUAAUUACCCAUUGUGCCAAUUGUUUGACUUGAAAACCAAUUUCCAAAAAUAUCAUAUUAAUUCUAAUUAAUUUGAUUAAUUUAAUUUUACUUGAUCAGAAUUAAAUUUCCCAAAAAUCACUUAGAUUUUCUAAAUUAAUUUUUCAAGAAAAUUCUUUAAUCAAAUUCUCUAGUUGAACAAUUCUUAUGACCUCCCAAUUUAAUUGCACAUUGAAUAAAUCGACUCAAUUAAAUUAUUUCCAAAGUCGUAGAAUUUACUUCUAAUUCAAAUGCAGUCCAAUCGAUCUUUUGUUGAGCUAGCAGAGGGACCAAUCAGACAUAUACAAUUAGGCUCUAGUAAUUGUAAUUAUAUCUAGAAGCAUCGUUGCAAUAAUUCACAAUUACUUAAUCAUGGAGUCAGUCUACAAGAAGUAGCAUGCUUGAAAACUCCUUAUUGUAUACUCUUAGCAAUUCAUCCAACUGCUUUGUCCAAUGACCUCAUCAUGUGUGUGUUACCCUCAUAUAAUAUCCUUGAUUCCUUUGAGAUAAAUUCGUUCACUCAAUACAAUCAUAUGUUAUCUCAUUGUCACUAUUGCGUCUUCUUAAUGGUUAAUAUGAUCACUUCAACAAAUGACUAUGAUAAAUCGUUCAUUCAAGAAUAAGCAACCCAUGGCCACUUUUCAUAUUUAUCAAUACACAAAAUGUCAAUGAGAGGAUAUUGUUAAUUCUUUAAUUGAGCUAUGAAUUCCACUAUUGCUAGUAAAGCCAUGCCAUACACAAGUCAUGUACCCAACAUAUCGACUAUCGGCUAUAUCAUCUUUAGAGUAUAAACCUCCACUUAUAUAAAAGUAGAUGAGUUACAUACGCAUGGGUAGUGACUAACUUAGGAUUUAGGUAAAACACACCAUGAAUGUCAUAAUUGAAUUAAUUCACAAAUGGAUUCAAAACUAAUUCAUCUUAGGUCCAGUCCAAUGUAUCUUUCUUCCAAUAAAUACAUUUAUGUCUCUACGCGUGGAGUCAACUUCUCUGAUAGCCAAGACUAGCCAUCUUCUUAAUUGGAAUUGUAGAUGACAUAAUAAUCCUUCUCAGUAUUUGAAUCAAAUGCUCACUUUGAUUUUUUUACGUUAUUACAGACUCAUUUAGAUUAUCUACUGAAGUAAAUUGUCUUUCUUGCAAUGUAAACGUUCUUCCAAUGCCAUUUAUCAUCAGUUUGAACUUAGAAAAUUGAUGAGCUAAUAUUUGCUUCUCACAAUUUCGCUAUGCAUGUAAAAUAUUAAAGAUAGAAAUACAAAAGAUAGAAUAGUGAAAUGUGACAUUUAUUUAUUUAUCGUUGAAAUACAUAAAAAAUAAUUACAUGUUUACUACAAUAUUGACACAUUUCCCAAAAAAUGUAACAUACAUGCAUCAUCUUAAUGCAUACCGUAAUGUUGCAAAAAUGCUUUCAAGAAUUUUCUUAAUAUAAAGAUAUUAAUAUAUGAAUGUUUUUUUUAGUUUUAAAAUUACACUAACUCCCUUAUUGAACAUAGCCAAUGAAAACAAACUGAACAUAAAUAACUAUAAGGAAUGGAAAAUGAACCUGAUAAUUGUUUUGAGCCGUGAGAAACUUAAAUCAGUUCUUGAUAAUAAGUGCCCUCCGACCACUCAAGCUGAGGCUAGAAAAUGUUGGGAGGGGUUUGAUCAGAUAGCUCAUUGCUAUAUACUGGGAAGUGUGACUAGCACCUUAUAUAAGCAACUGGAAAGCUGUAAGAUUGCCAAAGCAAUUCUGGAGAAGCUAGAAGACAUGUUCGGAGGCCAAACUGACUUGGCUCGAUUGCUAUAACUAGCUUGAUGAAUGCCUAGCAAAAACGCAGUAUCAAAGACCAUAUUGUUACUUUUAUAAGAUGCUUUACCGCCACCUAUACUACUAAUUAGACAAGGAGUUCAUUCAAUGAAUGCCUAGAACAGCUACCAUGUAAACAACUCAUCAAGUAUUAGUGAAACAUAUAAGUAGCAUAAUUAUAGUAGCCUCAACUUA
rnacentral:lncRNA from 1 species